rnacentral:lncRNA from 1 species
AAGGGCUUGGUUACAACAAAGCGUUUCACAUCACUACGUAAUGCGAGGACUAUUUUAUCAACAUGAUUUUAGUCGGCGUGGGAUCCAGCCUCAACAUUUGCCCGUUAGUGAUCUUAGGACAUUGGGAAAAGGGUUGCACGAGAUCAAAUAUUGGCCAUCAAUGUCAAGCUUUUGAUGGAUCUCAGAGGUAAACUAUUGGAGAAAUCAGUUUGUGCCUGCAGAUGGGGCCCACUUGGUUUGAUGCUGAGUUCCAAGUCAUUGACGUACCAGCAUUCUACAACUUAUUGCUAGGACGACCUUGGAUUCACGCCACUGGGGCUGUGUCAUCAACAUUGCAUUAAGCCUUGAAAAUUGUGUGGAAUCAUCAAGAAGUAAUCAUUCAUGGCAAUGGUAGCAACCCCAUAUACAGUCGCCAGGCUAUCCCGAUGAUCGGAGGAAGAAAGAGAAUAGGUGGAGAAACAUACCAAACGAGUCAAUUCCAUAAACAACGAUAAGUGGUGGGAUAGCAAAAUCGAGAGCAUUCUAAAUUGGAGCAGAUAUGAGCCCGAAAAGGGGCUUGGCAAGAAUCUCUAGGGUAUCACCAAGCCUAUCCAUUUGAAGAAGAAUGAGACCACUUUUGUUCUGGGUUAUGAAUACACUAGGGAGGAGUUCCAACAUUUGUCACCACCAUGGCGCAGUACCUACUACUUAUUGGAGCACCCUCUACCUCAGUUAGAGCAGACCUUUCAGCCCGCCGAUAUCAUAUCAGAGGAAGAUGAGACGCUGGCAGCCAUGAAUAACCUAUUUCUGAAGGGGGAUAUGGAUCGUUGUGUCACCUUUGAGGAGGAAGAGGGGGAAGGCCCUUCUAUUCAAGUUGUGACCCGAGGGGAGUGCCUCACCAAUUGGUCAAUCAGGACCACCAGAGCACGUAGAGCCUCGGGGUAGCAAGGCUAACGACACAUAUGCAUCGCACUUUACUUUUAAUUGAAUUUUAAUUUUCAGCCUUGUCUUUACUUUCGAAAAGAGCUCCAAUGUUUUAGGCAAUUAUGAAUUUAAUCAAAAAGCAUUUUCUAAGUUUAUAUUUAUAUUUCACUCUCAUUUAUUUUCUCUACCAUUUACUUUAUUUUACACAACAUUACUAUUAGAAUCUUGAUGAUGAACCCACGACUGUAACUUGCAUCGAGACAAUGCGACAAACAGACAUAGAUUCAGAAGAGGAUGAAAUACUAGAAGAAGUUGUUAAAAUUUUGAGAACUGACCUAAGUCCAAUCUAGACGUAAAUGAAUCAUUAAUUUGGGAGAUGCAGAAAAUACCAAGGAAACACGAAUCAGCGUACACUAUCCACGGCUAAAGGACAAGAAGGAUGUGAUGAGUUUCAUAGGAAGACUCAUUAUAUCAGCCGGUUCAUAGCGCAGUCCACCGUCAUCUGCGAACCUAUCUUCAAGAUGAUGAAGAAGGAUUUGCCACAAAAUGGACCGAUGAAUGUCAAAAGGCUUUUGACAGGAUCAAGGAAUACUUGUCUACGCCUCCAGUCUUGGUUCCACCUGAGUCUGGGAGAUCUUUAUUGCUUUAUCUCGUUGUUUUGGAUGGGGCAUUUGGUUACGUUUUAGGGCAACAUGAUGAAACGGGGAGAAAUGAGCAAUCUAUCUACUACCUCAGCAAGAAAUUUACCCCGUACGAGGCUCGAAAUUCCUUAUUGGAGUGCACUUGUUGUGCUUUUACCUUGGUAGCUCCAAAAUUGAGGCAUUAUUUCUACGCUUACACCACUCAUCUCAUAUCCAUGAUGGAUCCACUUAAGUAUAUUUUCCAAAAGCCCAUACCCACUGGCAAGCUCGCCAAGUGGAAAAUUUUAUUAAGUGAAUUUUACGGUGUCUAUGUCACCCAGAAGUCAGUUAAAGGAUAGGCUUUGACAGAUCAUCUCGCCGAAAAUCCUGUAGAAGGGGAGUACGAACCCCUAAAAAUGUAUUUUCCCGACGAGGAAGUAACUUUCGUAGGAGAAGACAUUGCAGAAUACUAUCACGAUUGGAGGAUAUUUUUCAACGGAGCCGCAAAUUUCAAAGGAAUUGUCAUAGGAGUGGCUUUGGUAUCGAAAACUGGUAAUCAUUACCCGAUGUCCGCCAAGCUCAGGUUCCCGUGUGCCAAUAAUAUGGCCGAGUAUGAAGCCUGCAUCUUGGGGAUUAAACUUGCCAUUGACAUGAACAUUCACGAAGUGCUAGUGAUCGGAGAUUCUGACUUACUCAUACAUCAGGUCCGAGAAGAAUGGGCAACCAAAAAUUCCAAGAUACUCCCCUAUCUAAAAAAUAUGCAGGAGUUGAGGAAAAGAUUUAGAAAGACGGAGUUCCUGCAUGUUCCCAGAACACCGAACGAGUUCGCCGAUGCUUUAGCCACUUUAUCAUCCAUGAUCCAACAUUUGGAUACAAAUUUCAUUGAUCCUAUUCCAUUCAAGAUUCACAACCAGCCGGCUUAUUGUGCUCACGUCAAGGAAGAGGCUGACGGAAAACAUUGGUUCCACGAUAUCAGAGAAUAAUUGACAACAGGAAGGUACCUAGAGCUUGCCAAUGCUACGUUGAAAUGAACACUUCGAACAUUGUCCAAUAAUAACUUUCACAAUGGAGGAAUCCUGUAUAGGAGGACUCCUGAUUUUGGACUAUUAAGGUGUGUCGAUGAAAAAGAAGCCAUCAUACUAUUAGAGGAAGUACAUGUUGGGACUUGUGGACCACAUAUGAAUGGUUUCGUUUUGGCAAAGAAGAUACUUCGAGCAGGUAAUUUUUGGAUGACUAUGGAGGCGGAUUGCAUUCAGUAUGUCCGAAAAUGUCACCGAUGUCAAGUACAUGCAGAUAUGAUAAAUGUGCCUCCGAAUGAGAUUACUGCAAUAAGCUCACCAUGGCCAUCCGCAGCUUGGGGAAUGGAUGUUAUCCGACCAAUCGAGCCUGCCGCAUCAAAAGGUUGACGUGUCUCGAACAACAUUGCGGUUGUUCGUUAAUCAUAAAAUUAUUCUAUUAUUUACAUAUAUAUACAUUUGAAUCAUGUUUGGCAAAUCGUUUGUAUAAAAUCAUUCAAAUCAAUAUCGUUCAACAAUGCUUCCCCAAAUGGCACAAGGCAUCACGAGCCGAGGGAUACGAACUAACCUCCCCCUUUACAGAACGCACGAUUUUUCUUUGGAUGCAGGAAUUCAGGAUACAAAUUGGAAUUUCAUGUGCUUCACAGAGCCAAAACUCUCUAAACAACUACACAUUUCAUAAAAGUUUAUUAUCUACAUCCAACAUUCCCCCAGCAAUCAUGAUAUAACAAUAAUCUACCAGCUAAGAAAAUCAUCAUUGUCUUCUCCUUUACGGUUUCGCAUUGCAUAAGGCUAUUCUCUGCCUUCCGAGGUUAAGCUCUACCUCCAUCAUGCAUAAGGCUAUUCUCUGCCUUCCGAGGUUAAGCUCUACCUCCGUCCUGCAUAAGGCUAUUCGUUGCCUUCCGAGGUUAAACACUACAUCCACCUUGCAUAAGGCUAUCUUAUUCCUUUCGAGACUAAGCUCUGUCUCCAUUCUGCAUUGCAUAAGGCUAUUCUCUAUCUUUUGAGACAAAGCCGUGUCUCCAUCCUGCAUUGCAUAAGGCUAUUCUUUGCCUUCUGAGGUUAAGAUAUACCUCCAUCCUACAUAAGGCUAUUAUCUUCCUUCCGAGGUUAUGCUCUACCUUCAUCCUACAUAAGGCUAUUUGUUGACUUCCGAGGUUAAACUCUACCUCCAUCUUGCAUAAGGCUAUCUUCUACCUUUCAAGACUAAGCCCUAUCUCCAUUAUGCAUUGCAUAAGGCUAUUCUCUGCCUUCCGAGGUUAAGCUCUACCUCCAUCCUGCAUAAGGAUAUUNNNNNNNNNNNNNNNNNNNNNNNNNNNNNNNNNGGUUAAGUGCUACCUCCAUCCUGCAUAAGGAUAUUCGCUGCCUUUCGAGACCUGUCUUACUCCUGCCCUGCAUAAGGCUAUCCUCUACCUUCCGAGGUUAAGCUCUACCUCCAUCCUGCAUAAGGCUAUUCGCUACCUUUUGAGACUAAGCUCUGUCUCCUUCCGAGGUUAAGUCUACCUCCUUUAUUUUGCAUUUGGUUGAAAAAUCUCCACCCUAUUUUAUUUGGCUGAAAUAUCGCCACCUUGCAUUUUAAAUUCUCGUUAGGCUGAAAUAUUGCUCCCUUGCAUUCAUUCGACUGAAAAUAUUGCCAUCUUCUCAUGGGGUGAAAUAUCGCCAACUCAUUCAAAGGCGUCAUAGUUAAGAGGCACCAUCUGCAUAGCCCGAGAACACCAUUUCAUGGCCUGCAAAUCCUUACUUUUAUGCUUUUCAUAGCCCAGGACGUCAUAGUCGGAGGAUGCCAUUGUAAUCGUCCGAAGACAGCAUUCAUGGUCCAAUGGGAACUUGCAUCAUGUUUAAAAUAUGCAAUAUAUAUAUACGCAUAUUGACUCGUUUCAGGUAUAUCAACUGGCUCACGGCCGUCUCAGCAGGAGAGAUCCCGCUCAAAUUCACCGCAGCCUGAAAAUUUUCCAAACUCCUGUCGCAUCUCGAACCCCAUUGCAUUCGUCUUUUCCGAACUUCCAUCGGCAUAUUCCGUCAAUUGUUCCUGAACUACAUAUGGCCUGAUUCCUAUAAUACCAGGGAUAUGUAAGCAGCUCAGAAAUCGGAGCGCGGUCAAAACUCUCUUACAGUCGCCAAUUCUGGUCAAUAUUGGCCAUCUUGUCUUUACCGACAACUCUUUCAUCCUCCUGGGUAAAGAGGGGUAACUGUUGAUACCCAAUUUUUCCCUAUAUAUUUCUUGCAUCUAAAAUAAUUUCAGAAUAGAAUAUGUAUGCAUAUAUAAGCAUGCCUAGGAAUUUUGGUAUUUUCCUUAAUUUAAUGAUUUUUAAAAUCAAUUUAAUGACUAUUUUUGAUAAUAUAAAGGCCAAAAUUAUUUCCAAAUUAUUAUAUUUUUAGUGCACAAUGUAUUUAAUUUUCAUAUUACAACAAGACAUAAUUAAUGUAAUUUUUGCACGUUUUUUACAAAUUUAUAUGGAUUUUUAAAAGCUAAUUGCAGAAAAUUACAAUUGUGGCAUGUUUUGAAAUUUGCUAUGUUUUACCGCUAUAAAAUUAUUUUUAAUAUUUUUAGAUUAAUAUUUAUAUGUUAUUAAGUAGUUUUAUGCUUUUAAUUUUUCUUUUUAUACUAUUUUGGAUAUUUUAUAAAAUUAAUUGGUAAAAGAGCCUAUUUAAAUUAUAGCCAGAUUUUAUUUAAAACAUGGCCAAAUUAAGCCCUCCAGGUCAGCCUUAUUAGACGACCAAAUUUGCCAAAUAACCCGACUUAGACCCUUUUAAACUAACUGUAAGGCCCUGUGAAAAUGAGUGCUCGGGUGUUAGCAGCUCAUAGAGUCGAGUACCUACACGGAUUGGAUCCUUUUUACUGUUUUGAACUUAAAAAUUUGAAAUCGCAGUUUUUCCAGAAAAUGGUCAAAACGUGGUAAGGAAUGCGGUUGCAGAUCAGCUAUGCGGACCGAAUUCCUACCACAGAGUGAAUCAGAGAGCAACAAAUUUUUUGAUGUUGAAAAUGCGGUCAAAUUUGCGACUGCAUAAUCAAUAUGCGGACCGCAGAGUGAUCGCAUAUUUUCCCUGAGGAAAUUCAAGGGUCAGUUCUGCGGUGCAUUCUGCGACCAAAGAAUGCAAAUGCGAACCGCAGAGUGAUCGCAUAUUGUCCCUGAGGAAAUUUGAGGGUUCUGCGGUGCAUUCUGCGACCGAAGAAUCCAAAUGCGAAUCGCAUAUCUACUGCAUUCCCAACCCGAGAGGUUUGAAACUUGAGCCAUUUCUACGGUUCAUCCUGCGUACCGCAUGUCUAUUCUACGACCGCAUAGUUGCAUCGCAGAUUGAGCUCGCCCAGUUAUUUUCUAAAAAUCUAAGCCCGAACCCUCUUUAAUAAAAACACCCCAUCCAUUUAUGAGGUAAAAUCCCCGGUGCAUUCAGAAAAAAAUAAGAGAGAGGAAGAGAGGGUCCUAGAGAGAGAAAGCAAGUUCUUCAUCAAUUGAUCUUUCAAUAUCAUUGGAGUGUGGAAAACCCUUGGUGCAUUGUCUUAUUUAUAGAUUUUUGAGAUAAAAUCCCUAACCCAUUUCCACCAAUUUCAAAAUUAAGCUUGGAAAGGGAACCCGAUACACUUGCCUUGAAUUUUCUUCAUAAAAUCUUCAUGCAUGUCUUCCAAACUCAAAAAUCUUGUAAAAAGGGGAUUGGGUAGUAACUAUGAGUUUAACUUUCUAAAACUUAAGUGUUGUUCAUGAUCUAGAUUGACUUCUUGAUUGCUUAAAAAGUUGGACUAGAGGUUUUAACGGGAAAAUCAACUCUAGGUAUGUAUGGCUAACUGUGAUCCUUGUGAAAUCGCCCUAUGCUAGUUGUGAAAUUGCUGAUAAUAGAUAUCUAUGUGAAAAUCAUUGUGAGGAUUUUGUGUUGUAUGAUUGUGUGGUAAUACUUUGUGAUGAAUGUUGCGGAACUUACAAUUGGAACAACGGAAAUGGAAAGUGAUGUGGUAUAAUGAAAAUGGAACAAUUUGGAACAAUGGAAAUGGAACAAUGUGGAACAAUGGAAAUGGGAAUAAUGUGAAAUAGUGGAAAUGGAAGUAUUAUGAAAUAACGUGUGUGAUUAGUUGUGAAUAAUUGUUGUGAUGAUCUAAAUUGUGUACCAAUAUGAUAAACCUGAGGAAUUUUUGUUGCUAGUUGUGGAAUUGCAUUACCCUUGUUGUGGAUCUAUGUUAAUAAUGUCCCUUAGUUGAUUUCUUGUAUUUGUUGAUGUGUUGUUUGUUGUUGCGAAUUGAAAACUGUCAGGCAGGGUCGGGUUGCGCACCGCAACAUAGUGAAAUAAGAUGUGGGUUGGGGUGAUAAGGGUGGCCGAGGUAAUAAGGGUGGACGAGGCAAUAAGGGUGGAAAAUGUGAUCCAAUAUCACUAUUCAUAUGAAUAUGAAUCAUGAAAUGAUAAAUGUGAAAAUAUGAAAGGACACAGCAGGAGAUAGUGAGGCUUCAUGGUACGCCACUUUGUAUCAUUUCGGAUCGAGGUGCUCAGUAUACAGCUAACUUCUAGAGGAAUUUCAGCAAGAUUUGGGUACCCAAGUGAAUCUUAGCACAACUUUUCAUCUGUAGACCGAUGGCCAAGAAGAGCGGUCUAUUCAGAAGCUCGAGGAUAUGUUGCGGGCAUGUGUCUUGGAUUACAAAGGUAAUUGGGAUGAUCACCUGCCCCUUAUAGAGUUUGCUUAUAAUAACAGCUUUCAUGCUAGAAUCUGGAUGGCUCCAUUCGAAGCAUUGUACGAAAGAAGGUUCGAGGUUGGUGAAGCAGAUUUAAUAGGGCUGGAUCUCGUCAUCAAGCCAUGGAGAAAGUAAGAGUCAUUCAGGAGAGAAUGAAGGCUGCUCAAAGUUUCCAGAAAUCCUAUGCGCACGUGCGCCUGAGAGAAUUGAAGUUUCACGAGGGAUAUUGGGUAUUCUUGAGGGUGUCUCCGAUGAUGGGAGUCAUGCGCUUUGGGAAGAAGGGAAAACUAAGUCCUAGGUAUGUCAGGCCUUCUCAAGUCAUUCAAAGAAUCGGUCAUGUCGAGAAUAGGAUGGAAUUGCCCCCUGAAAUGUCUCUAGUGCACCCAGUGUUUCAUGUAUCCAUGUUGAGGAAAGUUGUGGGUGAUCCGUCCAAAAUUGUGCCCGUAGAAGACACCAAGGUUACAGAAGAGUUAUCAUAUGAGGAGAUUCUGGUUGCUAUUCUUGAUAGGCAAGUCCAAAAGUUGCGGAACAAGGACAUUGCUUCAGUUAAAGUGUUGUGGCGAAACUAAUAAGUCAAGGAAGCCACGUGGGAAGCGGAGGAUGAGAUGAAGAUAAAAUAUCCCCAUCUGUUUGAGUAAGUGUAGGAAUGAUCGUGCGAAUCUUGCUCCUAGGAUAGCUAGUGCGUGUUCCAUUAAGUGUAAGAGCCAUCGCUUCUCUUUCCAAGUGCCUUAGCAAUGUAGUUCCUCCAAGUUGUGCUAACAAAACUUAUGUGUUGUGAUUAUUUGUACAGUGUGCAGUCCUUUUUGGUAAUGAAAUUUUUGUGCACCCAUGGUAAGGUGAUAUAUGGAAGUAAUAAUUAAUUUUGCAUGGAGAUUGUGUAUCAAAGUGUUCUAAUUGUAUAAUGAUUAGUUUUUGCAUGGGGGAAUCGUGUUGAAAUUUGCAUGGCCGAAUUGUGUUGAAAUGAAUGACUGUGUUAUACCCUUGUGAUAAGUAAAUGGCUUUAAUAGUGCAGACGAUUAAUCGUUAAUUUAAUUGCAUGUUGUGUUCCAAAUGGUGAAAAGUGUAUUAGGAGGUUGAAUAUGUGCAAGUGUAAGGAUGAUGCAUUUUACAGCUGUUGUAAAGGCAGUAAGGUUAUGUAGUAUUGCCUGGGAAUGUGUUUUGGGAAUUCUUUGAAAAGUAGUGAUGUACAUAUUACAAAGGAAACUCUGGCAAAAUUUUUCUAAGACAAUCGUGAAAGUUAAUAUAAGGUGUAGAAACUUGCAUAUCAUGUUUCCAAAGCACUUUUGGUUCCCAAGUCCUCAUUCGAGGACGAAUGAUCUUAAGCGGGGGAGGAUGUAACGCCGCGUGAAAAUGAGUGCUCAGGUGUUAGCAGCUCAUAGAGUCGAUUCUACCUACACGGAUCAGAUCCUUUUUUACUGUUUUGAAUGUAAAAAUGUGAAAUCGAUAUUUUUCCAGAAAAUGAUCAAAAUGCGGUCAAGAAUGCGGUCGUAGAUCAUCUAUGUGGACUGCAUUACUAUCCCAGAGUGAAUCAGAGAGCAACAAAUUUUUUGAUGUUAAAAAUGCUGUCAAAUCUGCGACGGCAUAAUCAAUAUGAAGACCGCAUAGUGAUCACAUAUUGUCCUUGAGGAAAUUGGAGGAUCAAUUCUGCGUUGCAUUCUGCGAACGCGGAACGCAAAUGCGUACCGCAUUCCCUACCUAAGAAGUUUGAAACAUGAUCCAUUAGUGCGGACCAUUUUGCGGACCACAUGUCUGUUCUGUGACCGCAGAGUUGUGUCGCAGAUUGAGCUCGCCCAGUUAUUCUUUCUAAGAAUCUAAGCGCAACCCAUCUUUUAUAAAAACACCCCAUCCCUCGUUUUUAACACAUUUUCUGAACAAACUAAGAGAGAGCAAGAGAGGGUCCUAGCGAGAGAAAGCAAGUUCUUCAUCAAAUGAUCUUUCAAAAUCAUUGGAGUGUGGAAAACCCUUGGUGCAUUUUCUUCUUUAUUGAUUUCUCAGGUAAAAUCCCUAACCCAUUACCCCCAAUUUCGAAAUUAAGCUUGGGAAGGGAACCCCAUACACUUGCCUUGAAUUUUCUUCAUAAAAGCUUCAUGUAUGUCUUCAAAACUCAAAAAUCUUAAAAAAAAGGGGAUUGGGUAGUAACUAUGAGUUUAAAUUUCUAAAACCUAAGUGUUGUUCAUGAACUAAAUUGACUUCUUUAUUACUUGGAAAGUUCGCCUAGAGGUUUAAAGGGGAUAAUCAACUCCAUGUAUGUAUGGCUAACUGUAAUCCUUGUGAAAUCGCCCUAUUGUUGUUGUGAAAUUACUGAUAAUAGAUAUUCAUGUGAAAAUUAUUGUGAGGCUUUUGUGUUGUAUGAUUGUGUGGUAAUACUUUGUGAUGAAUGUUGUGGAAUUUGUAAUUGGAACGUCUUUUGUGUUGUAUGAUUGUGUGGUAAUACUUUGUGAUGAAUGUUGUGAAACUUGUAAUUGGAACAACGGAAAUGGAAAGUAAUGUGGAAUAAUGGAAAUGGAACAAUUUGGAACAAUGGAAAUGAAACAAUGUGGAACAAUGGAAAUGGGAAUAAUGUGGAAUAAUGGAAAUUGAAAUAUUAUGGAAUAACGUGUGUAAUUAGUUGUGAAUAAUUGUUGUGAUAAUCUAAAUUAUGUACCAAUAUGAUGACCUGGAGGAAUUGUUGUUGCUAGUUGUGGAAUUGCAUUAACCUUGUUGUGGAUAUAUGUUAAUAAUGUCCCAUUCUUGAUUUCUUGUACUUGUUGUUGUGUUGUUUGUUGUUGUGAAUUGAAAACUGUCAGGCGGGGUAAUUCAGAUUGUGUACCAAUUUAAGCAUGAGGAAAUUGUUGUUGCUAGUUGUGGGAUUUCGUUAUCCUUGUUGUGGAUCUUUUUUAACAAUGUGCCAUAGUUGAUUUCUUGUAUAUGUUGUUGUGCUGUUUGUUGUUGUGAAUUGAAAACUGUCUGCAGGCCGCAACACGGUGAAAUAAGGUGUGGGUUAGGGUAAUAAGGGUGGCCGAGGUAAUAAGGGCGGACGAGGCAAUAAGGGUGGAAAAUGUGAUCCAAUAUCACUAUUGAUAUGAAUAUUAAUCAUGACCUUCUGAUGUGCUGUAGGUCUGAUGAAAUAUCCAUGAAAUUACUCAUGAAGGAAUUUGAACACUUCUCUAAUAUAUCAGGACUUCAAGAAAAUAUGGAUAAAAGCUCUUUAUAUAUAGCAUGGGGCACCGAUUGCCCCUUUGUAUUUCUACUUGAAUCAAUUAUUGUGAGAUGUUUGGUUGUCGCUCCAUGGUUGUAAUUGUACUAUUGUUGUUCAAUUUAAUACUAUAUAUGCAUUUUGGCUUGAGUUUACUUAGGACAGAGUUUGUUCAUACAUGCAAGUACAAUUCAAAUUUACUGAUGUACCUUUUGUCGGGGGUGAUACAUUCGUGUUAUGAUUGUAGGUGGAUCCGUGGCAGGCACUCUAGUCCACCGCUCAUAGCUCCUCCUCCUAUUUAUCGGCGGUAAUCAUGUUGGUGAGCCCCUUUCCUUCCGGGGCCUUGCGUGCCUCAUGCCACCUAUGUUGUUGUAUUUUGGAGUCUUGUGUCCUUAUUAAAGGUAUAGCCGGGGCCUUGUCUCCGCCAAGUAUUGCACUAUAUUUCUCUUAGAAGCUCCGAAGACAGUGGUGUGUGGGUUAGAACUUAUUUAUAAAGGUAUAUGUUUUGAACGCUGUAAACUUGUAUGCCAUGUUCCCUGUUAAUCAUAAUCUCUGGUUAUAAAAGAGAAAACAUAUGUUCUUUCGAUUACAAAUUUAAUAUCUUUUGGCUAAUUAUCAUUGAUUAAUGUGGGGUAACGCGUGGGGAAUAGGACGGGCACCAAGGUCCACUCGAUUGGGGAUACCCAAUUGUGUGCUUGUCAUGCCCACGGAUUUAGGGCGUGACACUAACCCGCCCGGACCCCUCUUUAAAUUGUGGCCAUUGAUCAUUUAAAUCAACGGCCCACAAUAGCCCUUUCCUUUUUUAACCCAAGACUACCCCUAACCCUAAUUCUUUUUCACCUUUAUCCGCCCUUGUAUCCCCUUCACUCUCAAACGCUCUCAACUCCUCUCUGAAACCCUAGCCCUCUCCGCCGUUGUUCGACCACUUACUAGAAAUCAUGGCCUUUAAGGCCCUGUGUAACCUAUAUCUACCCCCACUCACCCUUAUAUUGCACUUGCAUGAGGAUUCGAGGCCACACCUUGAAUAUAUCCAGCUUAAAAGACCUCCGAUUUGAGUUUUAUGGCCCUUUCCGGCUCAUCUCUGGCGAGCCCUAACCCUGCGAGUCAAUCUCUGACUCCGGAUCAGCCCGUUCCAGGCCUUCUCAUUUCUAGGGUUUUCUAUAAAACCCUAAGUCUCGAGGUUUUCCUGUUUCUCUCUAUGAUUUACUGUCGAUCCGUGCUAUUUUCAAGGAUUUUUAAGUGUUUCUCACAUCUUACCCGAUUUUUGCUUUCAAAACUGUUAUGCUUCUUAAAACAUAGGGUUUCUGUGAUUUUUACUUGUUCUACUGUGAUUUCUUACAUUAUUUGGCAUUGCUGUAAACCCUAAGUGUUUUCACUAUGAUUUCUAGGUAUUUUCUUUACUAUAUUUUCUUCUAGGGUUUUCGAGUAAAUUCUCUACUAUUCCUUCUUUCGUUAUGCCUCCAUGAAUGUUUGUGUUCUUUGGACUUUAUGAGUUUAUUCUUUGCCUGAUUCUUUAUGCUUUUGUCUGUGAGGAAGAAACCAUAGAUUUUUUGGGGGUUUUAGACUACUUGUGCACGAGUCUUUGGCUUCCUGUUUAAUUUCAAAAACCUAAUCUUCUAAAACUCGGCUCAUGUUUCUGAUCCUUGCUAAGCUUUGGAAGACCUCUUAAUUUCCCACACAUCUAUGUUCUUCUACUUUGCAUCACUAAUCUGUUUAUUUUUUAACCUAGCAUGUUUAAAUUUAUUCUCCCUUUUAUAGUCAAAUAUUUCUUUCUCUAAACAACCCUAAUUUGGGGGGAUUUAUUUUCUAUGAACUUACUUGAUUCUCACAUUGUCUGAUUUGGACCUAUAUUCUGACUUAAUGCAUUACUGAGUUCGAAUCCCUGAUUCUAAAUUAAUUGAUUUACCUUUAUCUUAUUUAUCUAACCAUGUAUUUUUUAAAGCUUCUCCUAUAUAUUUACCCCUUAUUGCACCAUGUGUUAUUGAUUUUCUUUCCUUAAAUAUCACUCUGGCCUCUCCUAUGCAAAUUCGAAUUCCUUAAUUAAAGGAACUCCCCUCUCCUAAUUGAUUCUGAUUGGUAUUGAAUUAUGUUUUUGCCUUACUUAUCACUUGUCUUUAAACUAUAAAUACCCUACUCCUUCUCUUCAAACACAGACACCCUUAAUUACCACUUGUCUUCAAACUAUAAAUACCCUACUCUUUCUCUUCAAACGACAUAGACACGAAUAAUUUUCACAAGUUCAUAGUAAAAACUCCCUCUUCUCUUCUCUAUUCUGCUCUGUUAGUUGUUCUAUUGCUUGUGUUAGCCGGCUGAAAGCCAAGGCAAACUAUAAGAUCCUACUUGUUCUUUUUGCAUUGCUGUUUGAAACUUGCAAUUGGUAGGUUCCAUGAUUUAAAUACCACCUCCAAACUAUGUGUAUACUUAUGCUUUUCAUAUAUUUGUUUAUGCUCUAUUUCUCUACAUCAUGUAAUUGAACUUCAGAGUGUUUACUUACCCCUUUCACCAUGUCUGUUUAUGUUUAGUAUGUAGUUUAAUAUUACCAUGCACAUACCUACCCCUUAUCCCCCAUGUUUUUGAUGUUAUAUGUGUGUGUUCUAUUAUUUGACUGCAUGUCUCUUUCCCCAAAACCCAUAUAGUUUAACUAUGUUCUGUUAUUUUGUGCAAAUGCUUUCAUAUUUGAUCCCUUUCCCUGACCCCUUUUAUAUGUGAGUAUUGUUUUGGACUAGAGUGGUACCCUAUUGCCACCUCUUGUUCAGAACCACGUUGUUCUCAACCUAUACUCAAAGUAAUCCCACUCCCUUAACCCCCUAUUAUGUGUUAAGCUUUGACUCAGGUCUGUUAGUGUCCUAAUCACCAUACAGGCCUAAGUCUGACUUAUUUCAAGUCAGGUCUUACUUUCUAAACCAUGUAAAGGGCCAGGGGUGUGCCAGUCCCCAUCAUGGCUAGGCAUGACCACCUUUGCAUUGGUUAUCCUCUAAUACUUCACCUCUACACUCAUUCUUAGUCUAUUAAGUUCUGCCCCCUUCGGUAUGCCAUGCCUUGGGACCCUUGAGCUCUAUCUAAUCUCGGAUGCCUUAGGGCUGGUACUUCCACCUUGCACUAUUUUGUUCAGGGUGUUAAGUACUGCCGGGAAUCCUUGAGAUUCUUUGGAACUCUGAAAAACACCUUGAGUAUGAGAAGGCCUUGGAAUCUGGAAUCUGGAUUUGGUAAAAUGCAUGGGUUGGACAUUAAUGUUUCUUCAAGACUCCCCGGGCCUGUUGUAGUUCUGAUGUUUUUAUUUAUAUUCUAUAAGUCCUUUCUUUCAAGUUUUGUAAUAAUUGUGUGAAAGACUUGGGGAUAUUAGUGAAAGGGUAUGGGAAGGGCUUUACUAUUUAUGCACAUGGCAAAGGUUUGAAACCAUGUUAAUAGCAUUCUAUUCUUAAUCAUUUAGAAAGCAUGCCUAUAGGCUUGCAUAUUUUUGUAAUCUAACGCAUAUAGAAAUCGUGCCGAUAGGACUCGCUUAUUUCGUAAUCAAAUGCAUAUAGAAAUUCUGCCAAUAGGCUUGCGUAUUUUUGUAAUCAAAUCCAUAUAGAAAUCGUGCCUAUUGGACUUGCAUACGCGAUAGGCAAGUUGUAGGGUUAAACGCUCAGUUAUUCAUUAACAGCUUUUAAAAUCAGAAGUAAUAGACAUCGUGCCUAUAGGGGUUAACUGCCAACUCGCCUUAUUUGCUUAAUUAAUAACAGCCAUUCAUUUGAGCUCUAUUGCCUUUAUCAAAAUAACGUUUCCGCAAACUGUUAGCUAUGCAUGCCUAUUAACAUCUUAAGUAUGUGUUUUUCCGCAUUUCAAAACAAAUUCCGCCCAAGUGAUUUUCAUUCUUUAAUACAGUCUUUAAAGUAAAGUUCUGCCCAAAGUGUUUUUUCUGAAAUAAUAUGCAUGUUCAAAUGCUUUGCUUUACCUUUGCAUAAAAAUCAUUAUGCCUCAACGUUUAUUUAGUUUUCAAAACAAUUAUGCAAAUCGCUUUUUUUUCAAAUAUGCUUAUCUUUCUGAAACUUUUCUGCACAUUUUACUUUAACUGUUUGUUACUUUUCAUGCCUCUUAUUUCCUCUACUGCUUUUUUUUAUAGACUCCUCGCCCCAUUAAAAAUACGACAAUUCCUGAUAACAUGCCCGGGGAACUCGAAGCUGAUUUUCUAUCCAGUUUUAUGUGUUUAGCCAAUCCAUCUGCGAUCAACUUUAACAUUAAGACCAAAUCAUUAUUUGUAAGUCAUGCUAGACUUACUGUUGUUAUGAUUUACAGGGUUUAUAUUAGCCUUUGAAUUUCUGAUUUGCAUACCUUUAUAUGUUAUUUGUUUUGAUUGACGCUUAGUAUUUUCACCUUUGAAUACUCCAUAUAUGUCGUAUCUUUCUCUCCCACUCUUAAUUUUAGAAGUCCUAGUACCGCGUCUCUAUUAGGUUGGGACGGGUAUUAGCAUUCAAUAAGUAAAAACUCCAUAUGUCCUAUCUUUUUCUCCCCCUCUUAAGUUUAGAAGUUCCAAUACCCCGGGACUAGUAGGUUGGGGCGGGUAUUAGCAUGCAAUAAGUAAACGAGACUAAACGCGAUUAAUACCUUAACGGGGUGGGAAGGGUAGAAUAUGGAGAUGAUGACGAUGCGAUAAUAUCAUAAAGCCACCACUGUUUGGGAAUAUGUGCGGGAUAUUGUAUCGAAUGAUCCAUAUUAUAGUCAAACUUAGGACCUCUUUCUCUUUUGAUUGCUUUAUUUAAACAUUUUUCCUAGAGUAAUACUUUUUCAAAUGAAUCCUCCCUUCCACUUUAUUUAAAUUAUACCUUUUCCCAUUUUACAAUUCUCAAGUUUUUUGAAUGUUUAUAUGCAAACCUUUACUUGUUUAUUUGCUUCAUUUCAUUAAAGUCGCAAUUAGCAUGGCUGGGAACCACACUAGUGGAUCCUGAGGGGUGCCUAACAACUUCCCCUCAAGAUAAUUUCAAGCCCUUACCCGAACUCUAGUUUUCUUUCAAAUACUCUCUUCUUCUCAAAAGUGUCCUAAUGCACUGUAAUCAUUAGGUGGCGACUCUUCAACAUCCAAUACCCAAUUUCCAAAUGGGAAUAAGAGUUGUUUUGUAUAUAAGUUCGUAAAACCUAUUUUGCUUCCUUAUUAGUAGUCGGAAAAGGGGGUGUCGUCAGUCCCGUAUGUCCCUCAGAUUUGGGGCGUUACAAACUAUGUAUCAGAGGCUAAGGUUUUAAAAAGAGUCCUAGGAUAUCUCGGAGUCGUGCCUGGUAGAGCUCUUCUUAUCGGUGUGUUGUCUACCACAUCUAUAAGCAGGGGGCUACACGGGAAUUUUGGAAACAACUCUCUUUUUUGUUAUUCCAUUUCUUGCAGCAAAGUAAAAAGUGGAAGUAUUUGUGUCUAACUUGUGCCUUGUUCCAAAAAAUUUAGAAACGACACCUAAGAAGAAAGCUAGAGUCAGCAUUGAGGCCAACGCCACCCUAAGUUUGGUCGUGAAUCAUGUACCAGACACCGCGGGUGAGAGUGACUCCCCGUCUUUGAAUCCGCCUGGCCCAUCUCUUCCAAAUCAAAGCAUUCCUGUUCUAGCUAAAACAGAGGGUGUCACCGUCCCUCCUGCCGAUAUUCUUAAUCAUGAUAUUGCUCCAGCUUUCGGUCCUGAGGCUUCUGAUGGGGACCUUACGGGAGCCAUACGUAUGUUGACCUAGUUAGUGGCCGCCCAGACCCUCAUAUCUCUUGAUGAUCCUAUGUCCUCCUGCGGACAAGGAGAUUCUGCCAGCUCCAGAGUUCACCAGUUUCUACGAUAAGCCCCUCCAGAGUUCUCAAGCACAGACCUAGAGCACAAUCCGCAUGAUUUUAUUUAUGCGAUAUACAAGAACCUUCAUGUGAUUAAGUCCACAGCGUCAGAGGAGGUUGAGUUGGCUUCUUACAGGUUGAGGGAAGCAGCACGCUCGUGGUUUGAGAUGUGGGAGGAUUACUGCAAGGAGGGAAGACCUCUGGCUAGAUUGGAGAAGUUUGUCGAUGCUUUUAUGAACCAUUUCUUGCCUGCCGAGCCAAUGGCAGCCAGCGCCACCGAGUUUGAGAUUCUCUAACGUGGUCGUAUGAGUGUCUGGGAGUACCACAUGGAGUUCGUGAGGUUGUCCAAGUAUGCUCCUCAGCUAGUGUCGACCAUAGAUGCUCGACUUUGGCGCUUUGUUCAGGUUCUUAGACCAUUGGUGGUGAAUGAUGCUACUACAACGGCCUUACACUCAGAUAUGAAUUAUGGGAAUAUUGUGGGUUUUACUCAGACCAAAGAGGCUAGGAAGUUGAAUAUACGAGCGGAUAGGGAGAGUAGCAGCUGGGCCCGGUCAAUAGGUCACUCAGGGAGGUUAGCUCCUGGGAGAGGGCCAUCAGGGCCAUCCCAGUCAUAUGAUCAGUCCUUAGCAAUUCCACUGCCAUCUAUGCACAGCUAUCAGCAGGGAAGUUCCUUGAGGCCAGGUUCUAACAGCAGGAGGUUCCACCAGUUCGGUUUCGCGGAUGAGGCCCCAGCAGCAGGGGAGCUAUAUGUCCCAAGUAUGAGAGGUUCCAUACAGAGACUUGCUAUUUUAACAUCCAGGUGUGUAAUAAAUGCGGGUGAGAGGUCAUAUCCUGCGGGAGUGUCAUGCGCCCAGGCAGGGCAUCGCUAGGGGAUUCGUCCAGUCAUCCGGUACUUCAGUUGCUACAUCAUCAGUGCGUCCUCAACCUUCAGCAGUGCGUGGUGUAGUUAGGGGUAGGGCUCGUGGUAGAUGUGGACCUAGCCGGUUCUAUGCUUUGAGUUGUCACCAAAAUGCUGAGGCUUCUCCAGAUGUUGUAACAUGUAUCUUGUCUGUUCAGGCCAUCGUUUGUUAUGGUCUUAUUGACCCUGGGUCUUUUUUGUUCUAUGUCACCCCAUUCAUUUCUUUGAGCGUUGGGAUAGAACCUGAAUAGCUUCAUGAGCCUUUCUUUGUUUCGACUCCUGUUGGUGAUUCUAUUUCAGUUGCGCGAGUUUAUCAGAAUUUUGUCGUCACGAUGUGUGGUCGUGCUACCAUGGCCGACCUUAUUGAGCUUGGAAUUGUAGAUUUUGACGUAAUUAUAUGAAUGGACUAGCUUUAUUCCUGCUUUGCUAAACUUGACUGCCUGACGUUGAGACUCGAGUUCCCUAACGUGCCAGUUUUUGAGUUGAAAGGGAAUGGUGUUGUGCCAAAAUGUAGAUUUAUUUGGUACCUUAAGGCUUCGACGAUGAUUAAUAAGGGGUGUAUCAAUCAUUUGGUUCGGGUGGCGGACACCGCUUCAGAAGUAUCUGCCCCCAAAUCCGUGCCCAUUGUAAAUGAGUUUCUUGAGGUAUUUCCAGAUGAGCUUCCAGGGAUUCCGCUACAUAGGAAGAUUGAUUUUGGGAUAGAUGUAUCUCCAGAUACCCAGUCAAUAUCUAUUCCACCAUAUAGAAUGGCGCCAGCAGAAUUACGAGAGUUGAAGGAGAAGAUGAAGGAUUUAUUAAAGAAGGGGUUCAUUCGACCGAGUGUGUCACUAUGUGGUGCUCCAAUUCAUUUUUCCAUAAAGGAGGAUGGGUCGCUUUAGAUGUGCAUCGAUUAUCUGUAGCUUAAUAAAGUCAACAUCAAGAAUAAAUAUCCUUUUCCCCGGAUAGAUGAUUUUUUCGACCAACUGCAAGGUGAGAAGUUCUUCUCAAAAAUUGAUUUGCGGUCUGGGUAUCACCAAUUGAAGAUCAGAGAGAAGGAUAUUGCUAAGACCGCUUUCAGAACCCGCUAUGGUCACUUCGAAUUCUUGGUCAUGUCUUUUGGGCUAACCCACGCCCCAACAUCUUUAGUGGAUCUUAUGAAUCGGGUCUUCAAGCCAUUUCUAGACACCUUUGUAAUUGUUUUCAUUGACAACAUCCUCGUUUAUUCGUGAACCAUGGAGGAUCAUGCUGAUCACCUCUGGGAAGUUCUGCAGACUCUUCAUCAGCACCAAUUGUAUGCUAAAUUCUCAAAAUGUGAAUUUGGGUUGGAGUCCAUCGCUUUUCUGGGUCAUGUUGUUUCCGGUAAGGGAAUUCGUGUGGAUCCCCAAAAGAUUGCAGCAGUGAAGGAUUGGCCUAGACCCAUAACCCCGGCAAGGAUCCGUAGCUUCGUGGGGUUAGAAGGGUAUUAUCGGAGGUUUGUAGAGGGGUUCUCCACCCACACCUCCCCAUUGACUAAAUUGAUGCAGAAAUCAGUCAAGUUCCAAUGGUCUGAUGCUUGAGAGAAAAGUUUCCAGGAAUUGAAGUCAAGGUUGACAUCGGCACCGGUGUUGGUUCUGCCGGAACGCACGGAAGAAUUUGUGGUGUAUUGUGAUCCUUCCAGGGUUAGGGUAUGUGCUCAUGCAGCAUGGGAAGGUUAUAGCGUAUGCUUCAAGGCAACUCAAUAAUCACGAGAAGAAUUACCCGGCGCAUGAUUUGGAGCUUGCAACUGUUAGGUUUGCCUUAAAAAUAUGGCAGCAUUACCUUUAUGGGGUCCAUGUGGAUGUGUUCUCGAACCAUUAGAGUCUCCAAUAUUUUUUCAAGCAGAAGGAGUUAAACUUGAGGCAGCGGCGGUGGUUAGAAAUUCUUAAAGACUAUGAUAUGAACAUCUUGUAGCAUCCAGGAAAGGCGAACAUGGUGGCCGACGCCCUUAGUCGGAAAUCCAUGGGUAGUUUGGCUCACUUGGGAGCGGAUCAGAGGCUCCUAGCUUGAGAGGUUUAUAAAUUGUCCAAUCUUGGGGUUUUGUAUCUUGACCGCAAAUAAGAAGGAAAUAAUGGUGCACAAUAUAGAUGAAUCGUCGCUUGUAGCGGAAGUCAAGAAAAAGCAGUUCAUUGAUCCAGCAUUGACACAGAUAAAGGAGGCAGUCCUGAACAACAAGAUUUCGGCAUUUUCACUUGGCGGAAAUGAUGGUGUAUUGCGAUGUCAAGGUAGGCUAUGUGUUCCAGAUGUAGAUAAUCUUCGGGAGAGGGUAAUGGCGGAUUCUCAUCAUUCCAGGUAUUCGGUGAACCCAGGUUUUAAGAAAAUAUAUCAUGAUCUCAAGGAAAUUUAUUGGUGCAGCGGUAUGAAGAGGGAUGUGGUAGAGUUUGUAUCUAAAUGUUCGUAUUGUCAUCAAGAAAAAUCCGAGCAUCAGCGGCCGGUGGGUUAACCCAAUUUAUGGAAAUACCAAUGUGGAAAUGGGAGAUGAUCAAUAUGGAUUUCUUGGCAAGGUUACGUCGCACUAAGCACAAGUUCGACUAAAUUUGGGUGAUAGAGGAUAGACUCACCAAAUCAGCCCACUUCUUGCCAGUCAAGUCCACCAAUACUGCAGAACAAUAUGCUCGAUUGUAUAUCAAGGAAAUAGUGAGGCUUCAUGGUACUCCACUUUCUAUUAUUUCGGAUCGAGGGGCUCAGUUCACAUCUAACUUUUGGAUGAUAUUUCAGCAAGGCUUGGGUGUUCAGGUGAACCUUAGCACGACUUUUCAUCCGCAAAUCGAUGGUCAAGCAAAGCGGACUAUUCAGACGCUUGGACAUAUGUGGCAGACUUGUGUCUUGGCUUUCAAGGGUAAUAGGGAUGAUCAUUUGACCCUUAUAGAAUUGUCUUACAAUAACAGCUUCCAUGCUAGCACCCAGAUGACCCCGUCUGAGGCAUUGUACGGGAGGAGAUGUAGGUCCCCGAUCGAGUGGUUUGAAUUAGGAGAAGUAGAUUUGAUAGGGCUGGAUCUCGUGGACCAAGCCAUGGAAAAAGUUAAGUCAUUCAAGAAAGGAUGAAGACUGCGCAGAGUCGCCAGAAAUCCUACGAGGACGUGCAUCGAAGGGAAAUGAAGUUCCAAGAGGUGAUUGCGUGUUCUUGUGUGUCUCCUAUGAAGGGACUCAUGCGAUUUGGGAAGAAAGGGAAGCUAAGUCCUAGAUAUGGUGGGCCUUAUUAAAUUAUUCAAAGGAUCGGACAAGUUGCUUAUUGGCUGGAGUUGCCCUCUGAAAUGCCCUUAGUGCACCCGGUGUUCCAUGUGUCCAUGUUAAGGUAAGUGGUUGGGGAUCCGUCCACCAUAGUGCCAGUUCAAGACAUCAAGGUUACUGAAGAACUAUCAUAUGAAGAUAUUCCAGUUGCUAUUCCUGAUAGACAAGUUCGUAAAUUGCGAAAUAAGGCUUCAGUUAAAGUGUUGUGACGAAAUCAACAAUUCGAAGAGGCCACGUGGGAAGCGGAAGAUGAGAUGAAAGUAAAAUACCACCAUUUGUUUGAGAAAGUCUAGGAAAGGUCGUGUAAGUUCUUGUCCCUAAGUGAACUAGCAUUGUGUCCCAUUUGGGGAAAAAGUUUCAUCAAUGAUUUACUAUUGUAAUUCUCCAAGUUGUGCCAAAACAUUUGUGUUUCGUGAUUGUUUGGGCCCUAUGCAACUCCUAUCGGUAAAUGAAAGUUUUGUGCUUUUGUUGUAGGUAAUUGGCCCAUCGUAGAGUAAGUGUAUAAUAGUAAUGAUUAAUUUUGCAUGGAUAUAAUUUAUAGAAAUGAUUUACUGUGUCGCACUCCUUAAGGUAAUAAACUAUGUGCAAAAGGGUGUCAAGCAAUUGAAUGUGCGCAGGUGUAAAGGUAACGAAUUUGAAUAUAGACAACACUUCUUGCUAAAUGGAAGUAUCGUACUCUUGCGAUAAGUAAAUGGAUUAUGAUAGUGCAGACGAUUAAUUCUUCAUUAAAUUCCGCGUAAUGUACCAAAAUGUCUAAGAGUGUGUCGAACGCCUUAAGGUAACCGACUAUAUGCAAAAGUGUGUUGAGAAAUUGAAUAUGUACAAGUGUGAAGGUAAUGAAUUUUAUACCAGUUAUAAGGAUAGCAAGAUUCGUGUAAUGGUGCUUGGAAAUAUGUUUUAGGGACUCUCUGACGGGUGGAUAUGUCCAUAUUUCAAAGGAAACUUUGGCGAGCUUGCGUGUCAUGUUUUCAAAACAUUUGGUUUUAAAGUCCUAAUUCGAGGACUAAUGAUCAUAAGUGGGGGAGGAUGUAAGACCCCGUAAAAAUGAAUGCUCAAAUCUUAGCACCUCGUAGGGUCAAGUCCACUUAUGUGUCGGGACCCUUUCUACUGAUUUUAUAUUUAAAAAUCUAGAGUUAAAGUUUUUCGGAAAAAAAGUCAUUUCUGCGGUCAAGUAUGCGGUCGCAGAUCAGCUAUGCGGACCGCAUCACUGCAGCAGAGUUAAUCCGAGAGUUUUUUAAAAUGCGGUCAAUUAUGCGAUUGCAUAACCAAUGUGCCAAAUAUCAUUGAUAUCAAGAAAACAAGGCUUUCCUUCUGCUUCUUAUUCAACACGGGCAUAAUAAGUUGGCUGAUCAUGUAUCUUUACUAGAAUGGGAUCAAUGAAGUUCUUUUGUGGAUGUUGUAUCAUCGAUGAUAGGGUAGCCAAUGCAUCAGCAAACUCAUUCUAGACUCUGGAAACAUGGUAGAAUUCUGUCAUUUUGAAUCUCUUUCUCAACUCCUAUACAUUAUGCAUAUAUAUAGGAGUAUCUUGGAGUUCUUGGUUGCCCAUUUUUCUCAGACCUGAUGUAUGAGUAGGUCUGAAUCAAUGAUAACUAGAGACUCUUGAACAUUCAUGUCAAUAGCCAUCUUGAACCAUAGGAUGUGCUUCGUCGGCCAUGUUGUUUGUAUACGGGAACCUAUGUUUUGUAGACACCUAAUAAUGUUGAUCGGUUUCUGAUUCUAGGAUCGCUCCUAUGCAAACUCCUUUGAAAUUUGAAGCUCAAUCGAAAAACAUUCUCCGACCGUCAUAGGAUUCUACAAUAUCUUCUCCUAUGAAUGAUAUCUCUUCAUCAGGAAAAUACAUUUUUAGGGGAUCGUAUUCUCUGUCCACGGGAUUUUCAGUAAGGUGAUCUGCUAGUGCAUGUACCUUAAUUGCCUUGUAACUUACGUAGACAAUGUCCAAUUCACUCAACAUGAUUUGCCACUUGGCUAGUUUGCCGGUGGGCAUGGUCUUCUGAAAGAUAUACUUCAAAGGAUACAUCUUUUAUAAGAGAUAUAUAGUGUAGGCAGAGAAGUAAUGCCUCGGCUUCUGGGCUACCCAAGUCAAAGCGCAACAGGUGUGCUAUAAUAGUGAACAUCGGGCCUAGGACGGGGAGAACUUCUUACUAAGGUACUAGAUGGCCUACUCCUUCCUUCUCGUUUCAUUAUGCUAUCCAAGAACAUAAUCGAAUACUCCAUCAAAUAUUGCGAGGUAGAGUAAUAGAGGUCUACCUAUAUCGGGCGGGACUAAGACUGGUGGUGUUGACAGGUAUUCUUUGAUUCUUUCAGAAGCCUUCUGGUAGUCAUCAGUCCAUUUAGUAGCGACGUCCUUCUUCAACAUAUUAAUGAUUGGCUCUAUGAACUGGGUGAUGUUGUUAAGCCUUCUCAAGAAACUCAUCGUGUCCUUCUUGUUCUUUGGUGGUUCCAAUUCGUAAUAGCUUUGACUUUUGAUGGAUCCACUUCUGUUCCUCGGCAACUCAUGAUAACCCAAGUAGUUUUCCAAUAGGAACCCCAAAUCCACACAUUGCGGGAUUCAGCUUCAGGUUGUACCUUGGUAAUGUAUUGAAGAAUUACCUCAAGUCUUCCAUGUGAUCAGUGGCCUUCUUGGACUUGAUGAUGAUAUAAUCUACGUACACCUUUAUCUAAUUGUGUAUCAUAUCAUGAAAAUAGGUAGUCAUGGCCCUAAUAUAGGUGGCCCUAGCAUUCUAUAACCCAAAUGGCAUCAUCUUGCAAUAGUACAUUCCCAACGGCAUAAUGAAAGCUAUUUUCUCAACAUCUUCUUCAUCCAUCCAAAUCUGAUGAUAACUAGUGAAACAAUCUACAUACGAUUGCAACUCAUGGUUGGCGCAAUUGUCGAUUAGGAUGUGUAUGUUAGGUAGAGGAAGUCGUCAUUCGGACUGGGUUGAUUGAAAUCAUGGUAGUCGACACACGCUCAAACUUUCCCAUCCUUCAUUGGUACUGGAACGAUGUUGGCUAACCAUGACGGGUAUUCUACUACCCUGAGAACCUUAGUUCUGACCUGCUUAGUGACUUCUUCUUUGAUUUUCAAUCUCAUAUCGGGCUUGAACUUUCUGAGAUUUUGUGUUAGCGGUGGACAUAUUAGAAUGGUUGGCAAUUUGUGGGCCACAAUAGAUGUACUCAAACCAGUCACGUCAUCAUACGGCUAGGCGAAUAUGUCCUCAUAUUCCCAUAGAAAUUUUGUGUAGUCCUUCUAUUGUGAUGGAAAUAAAUGGUCAAUGAUUCACUUUUUUAACCUUUUCUACAUCUCCCAAGUUAACAAUCUCGAGCUCAUCAAGGUUGGAUUUAGGUUGGUUCUCAAAGUUCUCAACUUCCUUAACAAUCUCUCUUAGUAUAUCCUCUACCUCUAAAUCUAUGCCUGUUUGUCGCGUUGUCUUGUUGCAUAUCACAGUCAUUAUUUCAUCAAGAUAAGUAAUAGUAAUGUUUUAUAAGUAAAGUAAUGAGAAGAAACUAUAGUAAUAAGUGUUGAUUCAUAAGAAAAGUCAAAAUGCGUUGAUAAAUAGCAUAAUUAAUUUAAACAUUGCAGAUCUUAUUAAAGGAAUUGAAAACACGCGAGAAAAUAAAAAUCUAUCAGUAAAUCAAACAAGUGCUUGUUUUCGCCUUGCUACCUCGAGGCUCAUCAGGCUUAGGUUGUCCUGGUUGUCCAAUUGUUGAGGCGGGCCCCUCUACUUACGGCCUAUAUAGAAGGUUCUUCCUUCCCCUCCUCCUCGAGAACAAUGAAGCAGUCCAUAUCACUGUCUUAUAGUAACAUAUGAUUCAUCGCUGCCAGUGCUUCCUCUUCUUCUAAUCCAUAGAUAACAUCGGCUGGUUGGAAAGUAUGCUCCAAGCGUGGUACUGGCUGCUCCAGCAGAUAGUAAGGACCACGCCAUGGUGGCGACCAGUUGUUGAAUUCUCCCCAAGUAUAAUUAUAUCCCAGAUCGAAAGUAGUGCCAUGAUUCAUUAGCUUUAUUGGCUUAGCGAUUCCUUGGAGGUUCUUGCCGAGCCCUUUGUCAACUUCGUACCCACACCAAUUUAGUGUACUCUCGAUAUUGUUAUACCACUAUGUGUCUUUAUCAACAACAUUUACCCAGUCGAUGUGAUGGUAAGUCUCUCCAUCCAGCUUCCUUCUUCCUUCAAUGGACGGAACGGUCUGGCGACUGUAUAUAGGGUUACUACCAUCACAGUGAAUGAUCAUCUCUUGAUGCAGUGUCGAUGCCACAGCUCCAGCGGCAUGGAUCCAUGGCCGUCCCAAAAGUAGAUUGUACGAUUUUGGCACGUCUAUCACUUAGAAAUCAACAUCGAACCAAGUUGUUCCCAUUUGCAAACACAGACUAAUUUCCCCAAUAGUGGACCUCUAUGAACCGUCGAAGACUUUCACAUUGAUAUCUCCAUCCUCUAUCUCGUGCAAUACAAUACCCAACUUCUUGAGUGUCACCAGUGGACAAAUGUUGAGACUAGAACCCCCAUAAAUUAGGAUCUUGGUGAUAAAGUAGUCCUUGCCUUACACUAUGAUAAAUAGUGCUUUGAUAUAUCCCAACCCUUCAGGCGGUAGCUCAUCCUCAUGAAAUUAAUGUUGUGACUCUCCAAUACCAAUCCUACCAUGUUAUCUAUUUCUCUACCAGUGAUGUUUUUUCACAUGUGUGCUUCCCUUAAUACCCUCAGCAGAGCAAUCUUGUGUGCCUAAGAAUUCUUUAGCAAAGAAAGUAUGGAGAUCAUUGCCAAUCUUUUGUUGAACUAGUCGAUAACCGAGUAUUUCUUGGACUUUAUCUUUCUCCAAAGAUUGUUUGGACCUGUCUCAAUCAUGGGUGGCCAUUUGGACGCCUACUAGCUUUACUAGGCUAGGUGUUCAUGGGUAUAGACUCUAUUAGUUCUUUUCAUACCCUGUUCGGCAACAAUUUCCUCAAACCUAAGCUUUCCUUUCCUCCUUGCCUCAACUGUAUGGUCACAUAGUAUAGCCUUGGUAUGGAAUGGUAUUACGGCUAACUUCGCCACUUAGAUAGGCAUGACUAUCUUCUCUCUGAAUGGAGCAUGUUCCUUGGAUGGUAAAACAGUAACUUCAAAUUGAGUAGGUGCAUUUGUUGGAAACACAAAUUCAACCUCAAUCGGUGUUGUCAUCUUUGCAUGUGCUUCAAACUCAAGUAGCACAUACAUGUUUUCUUCAGCGUCCCCAGAUAGAUGAAUCUAGACUAUGAUUGGAUUAAGAGUUACUAUCGGCUUCUUUGGGUGAUCACCUUCUGUGACUGACCCGAUUGACCCCUCGGGAUCCCAAUCAUUCUCUUCUUCAAUCAUAUAAAUUCCUCCACUUUUAUGAUCUGGAAGACUGUUAUUGCAGACAUUCAGAGCAGGUUCCUUUUCCUGAAUAAUCUUCUUGUCAAUCAUAGCCUGGAUUUUGUUAUUUAGAGAAUGACAUUCGUCGAUGAUGUGUUCCUUCAUGCCAAAAUGCUAUGCAUAGAAUUUGUUUGGGUUAACCCACUCAGAAGGGUUCUCGGGGGUUAUGGUAGGGAAAGGGGUUACAUAACAAGUAGCUUUGAGUCAUUUGUACAACUGGUUAAUAAGUUCAGCAAUGGAUGUAUACUACAUAGGGUGUCUACGGUCAAAAUUUGUUCGAGGUCUAAGAAAGUUUUGACACAUAGGAGAUUAUUGAUAGCGGAACGAUUGAGCAUUGUAGGCUUGGUAAGCAUGCGUAGGUUGGAAAUAUCAAGGUGAAGUAGGCUGAUACGUAGGAGAUGGAGGUGAUUGAUAAGUGUGUGGCGGAGUUUGUAUGAGGGUGAUGGUGCUUGGUAGUUUGGAGUAGGCUGAUAUGUGAGUGGAGACAUUGGAUAGGUUUGGUAUUUGAUAGGACAUUUGGUUCUCUGUGCAACCAUUACGGAAUCUACAUCCCUUUUCUUGGAUGCACCACCAUGUUGUAAGGCCGUAUUGGUAUCUUGCAAGGCUUCAAAGUUCGUAGCCAUACCACUUUUGAUGCCUUAUUCGAUUCAUUUACCCAACUUGAUGAUGUCAUAGAAUUUAUGGCUCCCAUCAACAUCAGCCUUUCAUAAUAUUGUGGGUUCUAAGUAUGGACAAGUAAUUUGUUCAUUUGUUCUUCUUCUAAAGCAGGUCUGACCUUAGCAACGUUGGAUCUCCAGCGAGUAGAGUACUUGCGGAAUUUUUCUGUGGGCUUCUUCUUUAUGUUAUGAAUAUAAAACACAUCUGGUGCAUUUUCUGCGUUGAACCUGAAAUUGUCCAUGAAAUUGGACGCCAUACUCACCCAGUUUGACCACUUCUUCGGGUCUUGGACAAUUUACCAAGAUAGAUAAUCUCCUUUUAGACAUCUCAUGAAAGGAUUCAUGAGGAUCCUCUCAUCUUUCCCUACUCCGACUAGCUUGUAACAGUAUGUUCUCAAAUGGACUCUCAGAUUCCCGGUACCGUCAAGUAUUUCGAACAUUGGAGGUUUGUACCCUUUGGGCAGUUCAACGUUGAGCUGUAUACAAAGAUAUUCAUAGUUCAUCCCUUCAAUUCCCUUGCUCCCUUCGAUCCCUUGAAUUCAGCCAGUCAGUUUCGUCUGUUCUUUAGCUAGGUUCUUGAUAAGCGAGUCUUUGUCAUCAAACUCGGCUGUGCUCGAUAUGUAUUGGGUGGAGUGUUGCAUGGUCUCCAGGUAGAUGGGGGUGUUAUGAUAAGAGUGGAACUGGUCAUUUGUGGAAUCCAAAGGUUUUAGGACAAACAGUAGAGUCUUGUUGGAAGUAUUGCAUGUGUUGCGGUGGUGGUGAGGACUGGGUUGGUUUUCUGGCUUUGGAAUAUCCUGUGGAGGUGUGGGGUACAAAUAAUUUGGGAAAUUAACAUCUGGAGUAAUGAGGGAAAAUGACAGAUUCGCCAGAUUCCGAACCUGAUCAAGUUCGUCUGGUAAUUUUAGCAACUUUUGUUCAAGCUGGGAUGCUCUUUCCUUUGGAACUAGAGUACCCUGACCAUGAGUGACCUCUACCCGUUCGGUUGAGUUCUCCUUUCUAGCUUUGUUCGAAUCUUCCAUUUUCCCCUUGUUCUUGUUUUUGAUAGGACAAAGAGGAGGAGUGGGUGGGGGACCCCUGGAUCUCGUAAGAUAGGAUGAUAUUGCCAUAGUGUACGAACUAACCUUCGAGGAGGGAAAUAAAACAAAAAGGUAAAAAGUCUCUAAGGAUUAUAAGAAAAAUGUUGCGAUAUUUUAAACACAUGGUGCAUAAUGUAAAUCGUGUUCUAGUUUGGGAACCUAUUUGUGCCCAAGAUAGGCCUAGCAACAAAUUGAUUUGGAGAAAUCAAAAUGCUAAAUGCCCCAUUUUAUUGAUUAAAAGUAGACGGAUCCCAAAUCGACACUAAAUGGUAGGAAAUCAAAUGUCACUAGUGGCCAUUGGGCAUAUUACCUUUUCUACUUUGUCCAAAAAGAACCUUCGCCAUAUUCAGCAUCCUUGGCUCCAUCAAACAGCUUCCCCAACUCGCGAAGUCCCAGCAAUAGGUAGGCUCUGGCAAGGUGACCGCCUUCGUCUUCCUUCAAUAUUUUGGCAAUCCUUGAUCCUUUUGAGGAAUUUCCUUUCCAGCUCCACUAUGCCUCACUACAAGUCUCCCAGUCGCUUGUUGGCACUGAAAGCCAUAUCUUUCCAUUCAUCUAUUAGCUUUUGGUUGUCUUCUUGUAUCUCAUUGUGCUCGCUUUCGCAUUCCCUGAUCCACUUGCAUAGUUGAUUGAAUUUGACAUGUGUCUCUGCCUCUUCGUCCAUUAUCAUAUGACCUCUGGCUGGCCUAGACCGUUACGAUUAUCCUCCAACCAGCCUGAAUAGUAGGGAGCACAACUAGUUUGGUAUCUAUCUGGCUCGAUGGUAUCUCUUCCCAUGACGAUUUUGUAGUGCCAAAUAUACUGAGUUUAGCACUUAUAAUGGCUAUCAUCAUCUUGGAACUCAGCCCAGAAAUGAGUCAUCUUUCCAACCCUUUUUAUGACCUGCUUCCUACCAGCCUGUCUUGUAAACCGAAAAGGGACGUAAGGUUAUUUUACUCUGAGACCGAUUAGUAUCAGAAAUGGGUAUCCCUAGAUCGGGCGAUAAACUUCUCGAUACGGAACCACUCAAAAAUCCGUUGUGCUUGACCUUCGAGUAGAUUAUUAAACAUUUUUACCCAUCCUUUGGCAUCUUCUGGUUGAGCGUACAUGUUGGGUAUUUAAUUCAUUUGCCUUGGAUGAUGGAAGUCUAUAUGAUCCUCACAGUCCCUUCGCUAAAUCUCUUGUCGAUACCCACUUUGUGACCAUCCAGCCCUUCGUCACGUGAGUUACUACCACGUUUCCCCCAUAUUAUAUUUCUCGAUGAUUUAAUAUUAGCAUCCGACUUGAUCGGGUAGAGUUGGAUUGAUUUUAGUUGGAAAUGAGGCACUUAGCCUCUUAGAAGGAAGCUUGUUUUGGAAAAGUCAACCGGAAGUUGACUAUAUAGUUAGAGUGUUUAGAUGUGAGUUUUGGUGGUUCAGUUAGCUUCGGGGGAUUAUUUAUUUCUUAGGAGUGCGAUCAGAAUUGAAUUUGGAGGUCCGGUGCAGAAUUAGACUUGAAUUGGCAAAGUUUGAAUUUUGGCGAAUUCUGGUUGAUAGGUGAGAUUUUGAUCUGAGGGUCGGAAAGGAAUUUCAAUAGUCGUUGUAGCUUUGUUAGGUGAUUUUAGAUGUGUGUAUAAAAUUUUAGGUCAUUCAGACAUCGUUUGGUCGGGUUAUCGAUUUAAUGCGAGUUUAGAAAGUUUUGAUUCAACUUAAGCUUGAAUUCAAUGUGAUUUAAUGGUUUUAGCAUUAUUUGACAUGUUCUGGGGAUUGAAACAAGUUUGAAUAAGGUUUUAGGAUUUUUUGGUGCUUUUGGUUGAGGUUCCGGGGGCCUCAAGGUGAUUUCGGAUGGAUAAAUGUGAAUUUUUGAAGCAUGCAGAAGGUCUGAUCUUCUAGCUUCUGGAUUUCUGCAUCUAAGGAAAAGGAGCCGCCUGAGCGGUUCCGCAAAUGUGGCUAUGGGUUGACAAAGCGGUCCUUGAGGGGGGCCUGGUAUAUUUCACAUAAGCAGAAACCGCAUAAGUGGAUUUCGAUCGCAUAAGCGGCCUUGGGAUUUAUUGGUUGAACUGCAUAAGCGGUGUUUUGACCGCAGGUGCGGUGCAUGGGCUGUAUAAGAGGAAAUGACUGGGCAGAACAAUAUUAAUUUCUCUUCACAUUUUGAAGGGGAAAACAUUUGGGGCUUUGAACUUAGGCAAUUUAUGGACCAUUUUGAAGAGGGUUUCGGAAGUUUUCAACAGGUAUGGAUUCUUGGUCUUAGAUUAUGUUAUUAUGGUGUAAAAACAUGGAUUAACACAAAAAAUCCAAGGGAAUUAAGGUUAAAAUGGAGGUUAGGGCUUGAAAUUUGAAAGAGUUUAAACUAGUGAUUUGAGGGGUCAAAUGGACUCCGAUUUUUGUGAAUGUUGUAUGUAUAGACUUGUGGCGAGAUAAGGAUCAUAUUGAUGUAAAGAUUUCUAAGUUUCAAGACGUGGUCCGGGGGCACGGGUUUUGUAAAUUUCGUGAAUUUCGAUAUUUUUGAGUGCUUUCGAUUCGGUAUUGUCUUUGUGUAAUGCAACAUAUUCGUUGUAAUUUUGGGCAGAUUGGUCAUGCGAGGAAGCAAUUUUGAAAGGCAAGGGCAUCGAGGAGUAGACUUUUAACCGUCUUGAGGUGAGUAAUGAUUGUAAAUGAUGUCCUGAGGGUUUGAAACCCCGGAUUUGCACAAUGUAGUGCUAUGUUGAGAUAAAACACGCAUUGUACGACAAAACACAGGGUCAUUUACUAUUAGGGAUUGUGACUUGGCCCAUCCCAGUUGAUAUUUUACCGCGUAUUUUAUUGAGCCUUGUUGUUUUUCGCCAUGAUUUGGGCUUAUUACCAUACUUGGGCGUGUGCCAAAUAUUUGAAAUACUUUGUGAUUUCCAUCACCGUUUUUCCACAUUAAUUGAAAUGUUAUCGGUACUCAGUCCAAUUGAAUUAUACUAUUUCAUGAACUCAGCUACAGUUUUACUCAACUUGGCGUAUAACUGACUACCCAUCAGAGUCUGAAGAACCACUGUGAGGUGCUUCUCAUGCUCCUUCUGACUGCGGGAGUAUAUCAGAAUGUAGUCAAUGAAAAUAAUCACGAACAAAUCCAAAUAGGGCCUGAACACUCGGUUCAUCAACUCCAUAAAUGCUACUGGAGCAUUGGCCAACCCAAUUGACAUCACCAAAAACUCAUAAUGCACAUACUCACUACGAAAUGUUGUCUUAGGGACAUCAGAUUCCCUAAUCCUCAGCUGUAAUAACCAGAUCUCAAAUAUAUCUUCGAGAACACCCUAGCACCCUAAAGCUGGUCGAAUCAAUCGUCAAUCCUCGCAGUGGAUGCUUGUUCUUUAUCGGCACCUUGUUCUACUGCCAGUAAUCAAUGCACAUCCUCAUCGAACCAUCCUUUUUCUUAACAAUUAACACUGGCGCACCCCAAGGCGAUACAGUGGGUCUAAUGAAAUCUUUAUAAAGAAAAUCCUGAAGGUUCUCCUUUAACUCUUUCAACUCAGGCGACGUCAUGCGAUACGGAGGAUGGAAAUAGGCUGAGUGUCCGGAGCCAGAUAAAUACAUAAAUCAAUAUCCCUGUCGGGCGGCAUACCCAGAAGGUCUGAAGAGAAAACCUCGGGGAAAUCCCGAACAAUAGGAACAGAAUCAAUAGAUGAGACCUUUGUGUUGGAGUCACGAACAUACGCCAGAUAUUCUAGACACCCCUUCUCGACCAUGCGUCGAGCCUUAACAUAUGAAAUAACGUGGCAUGACCUGGGGUCCCUCUCCACUGUAGUCAGGGCAAGUCUGGCAAAGCCAAGGUCAUGGUCUUUGCGUGAAAAUCCAAAAUAGCAUGAUACGGGUACAAUCAAUCCAUCCCCAAAAUAACGUUAAAGUCCACCAUAUCUAAGAGCAAUAAGUCAACACAGGUAUCAAGACCCUCAAAUAAUACCACACUUGAACGAUGCACUCGGUUGACUAAUAUAGAAUCACCCACCGGUAUAGAUACAUAAACAUGAAUACUCAAGGCAUCGCUAGGCAUAAACAAGUAGGGUGCAAAAUAGGACGACACAUAUGAAUACGUAGAUCCUGGGUCAAAUAACACUGAAGCACCCAUAUCAUAGACCAGAAUAGUACAUGUAAUGACAGCAUUGGAAGACUCAACCUAUGGUCUGGCUAACAAGGCAUAACACUGGGGCUGGGCCCUACCUCCCUAAACUAUGUCUUUGGGUAGAUCGGCUACUAGCUGACCCCUGCCUCUGGCGGUCCGAGCUCCACCUCUAUGGUCUCUACCUCCACCUCUAUGAUCCCUACCACAACAUCUAGCUGGCUAAGCAAGUUGUGGUCACCUGGUGCUAAAUCAUGGUGCGAGGACCCUGCUGCUGAGAACUACCCGAGGCUCGAGGGAAAAACCUAACAAUAUGACUCGGGUCACCACAAUCAUAACAUUCCCUUGGCUGCUGAGACUGAUGUCCUUGUCAACCUGUAUGUCCUCCCCUAAAGCUCUGAAGUGGCGGUGUACUGAUGGGAGCUCGUGGUGCAGUGAAGGACUGCUGAUCCGAAUAAUGUUGUUGAGGACCACCACCGCCCAGAGUACCCUGAGAGACCUGGGGUGCUGACUGAAAGGGAAUCUUUGGAUGGCCUCUACAAUUAGAAUCCCUACCUCCAGACGAGGUACCACUGAACCUACCAGAAUGAUGAGGCCUUUGAUCUGACCCCUAACCACCUCCUCGUGCAAGUUCCAUCUCCAUCAUGCGCACCGCAUUAGCCGCCUCCUGAAAAGAUAUAUCACUACCGGCUCCCAUAGCCAUCUGAAGCCGGAUCGACUGAAUCAACCGAUCAACAAAUCUCUGCACCCUCUCCCUCUCAGUGGGGAGUAGAACAAUAGCAUGGCGUGCCAAGUUAAUAAAACGAGUCUCAUACUGCGUGAUUGUCAUAGUACCCUAAUGAAGACGCUCAAACGACAUGCGUAGAGCAUCUCGCUUUGUCACCAAGAGAAACUUCUCCAAGAACAACUCUACAAACUGAUCCCAAGUCAAUAAUGACGACCCUGGUGGCCUAGAUAAACAAUAUUCCCUCAACCAAGUCUUCACGGAUUCUGCAAGCUGAAAAGUGAUGACGUCAACCCCAUUGGUCUGCACAAUACCCAUACUCCUGAAAACCUUAUGGCAGCUGAAUAAUAAGUCCUGGGGUUCCUCUAUAGAAGAACCACUGAAGAUGAUGGUGAAGAGCUUGGUAAACCUAUCAAGCCUUCACAAAUCAUCUGCGGACAUCACCGCACUAUCGCCGGUCUGAGCUUGAAUAUCCAGCUACGCUGCCAGAACUGGCUGAACUGAUGGAACCUGAGGCUGAGGAGAUACCUGCUUCAAAGUACGCGUAGCGGGAGUCUGAACUCCUCUCCCAACCUGAGAUGUGGAUGGUGUUACGGGAAGCAAACUCGCUCUACAAACACUCUCCAAAAAUCCUACCAGUCGGACUAAAGCAUCCUAGAGUACUAGAGUAGCUAUGAAACCAUGUAGGACCUGAGCUGGGCCCACUGAAGUUGCUGUUGCUGGAACCUCCUCAUCAUAGUCAACAUGAGGCUCCACCUCUAGGACUGCUGCUCAGUGCUGGGCUCUACCCCGACCUCGGCCUCUAGCACGACCUCGGACUCGCCAUCUUCCCCUGAUAGGAGCUAUAUCUGGGGGUUAGGGCUGCUGUGUGGUAGAAGGGGAAGUACAUGUUCUCGCCAUCUGCGAAAGAAUAGAGUAGAAUGACAAUCAGUAUUUGAGAAACAGAUUCGCACAACAAGAAUGAACAUAGUGAAAUGUUUCCAAACUCUGUAGCCUCUGGGAUAAAUACAGGUGUCUCCAUACUGAUCAAUCAUACUCUACCAAGUUUUUUCCGUGCGUUGUGAGACCUAUGUAACCUAGUGUUCUGAUAUCAACUUGUCACGACUCGAAUUUUCCCACCAUCGGGAGUCGUGAUGGCACCUACUAUCGGAGCUAGGCAAGCCAACAAUUAAACAUUCCUUGAGAACAUUCACCACAAUAGAAAUGAAACAAAAACAAUUAGAUAAGUAGAAGUCACUAAACUUAGAUAACAGAGAAUAAAUGCGGAAGUUUUGAAAAACAUCUCUACCUAGAGUCUGGUGUCACUAACUCACCAACUAAUAUAGAGUACUAGAAGCAAAAGUCUAAAUGAAAUACAUCAGUGUUUGUCUCGAUACAAAGAAAAACCAACUAAUAACAGAGAAAGUGACUCCGGCCUGCUUACGUCAGCUAGGCUACCUCGCAAGUCCCUGGACUGAAGACAGCUCCCGAUCAAUACUGUUGUUGUGGUCCAAAAGAUGCUCCUGGAUCUGAGCAAAAAAAUGUACAGAGUAAAGCAUCAGCACAACCGACCCCAUGUGCUAGUAAGUGUCUAGCCUAACCCCGGUAAAGUAGUGACGAGGCUAGACCAGACUAUCAGAUAAACUUAUACAGAUAUGUAAUAUACUUGCGGAAAAUAACAGGAGAUAAGCAGUUAUACAAGGAGGGAAAACAUGCUGGGAAGACAACAGUAAUAAAAAAAGGGUCUAAUUUAAACGUAGAUCAGCCAACAAAGCUCAAAUUCGGUAAUAACACAUUUAACCCAUACUUUGUUGCAGCGCGCAACCCGAUCACAAUACUGUUGUUGAGGUCCAAAAGCUGCUCCUGGAUCUGUGCAAAAGAUGCAGAGAGUGUAGCAUUAGCACAACCGACCCCAUGUGCUGGUAAGUUCUUGGCCUAGCCCCGGCGAAGUAGUAACGAGGCUAGACAGAACCUACAAAGAACAACCUGUGCAGAUAUAUAUGUAAUAGCAGCAAAAUAUAUACAAAAUCUAAAUAGCUUAUAGAGAGGAGAGAAUUCUAUGGUGUGUAACAAUUCAGAUAUAGGAUCAAUGAACAAAGAUAUGGAACUAUACAAUAACAUCAAUCAAAGAUAAAAGGUAAGUCAACAAUUGCACGGCACCAAACGUCGUGCUUUUACUCUCAUUCUCACCAAAAUAGUCAAAUAAAGUGCACGGCAUUACCCUUCAUGUUUUUCCUCACAUAACUCUUUUAUCAAGGCACGGAAUGACCAUUCGUGCUCAAUUAUUAAAACAUGGUAGGGAAUGACCAUUCGUGCAUAUUUAAAAACAUUGCAUCGAAUGACCCUUCGUGCAUAAUUAUCGAACCAUGGCACGGAAUGACCCUUUGUGCAUAAUCGCGCUUCCUCACCCAAUCAAGAGUCACAACCAAUUGAGGGAGGGGAUAAACAACAAUAUUUAACAACAUGGCAAGGGAGAAAAAAUCAACAAGUAAGUCCCCGCAAGGGUACAACAACAAUUUUAAACUACACGUCCUGGCAACGUAAUAAUUACAACACUUUCUCUUUUAAUCACUUCUUUCUCAAUUAUCAUAUUCGCAUUCGAGGAAACACUCCAAUAAUGUACAAAUCAUAAUUCUUCCUCAAACCUUUCACAUUAUAUGAAAUUUAUUAAUUAAACAAGGAAGAGGUAUCACAAAAUACAAAUAAGCACAAUUAAGACUCGCGGUCAUGUUAGAGUCUGGUGUAUAGAUACUCGCCACAUUGCCUAUACACCGUACUCAAUAAUUAGAAAAUUGCAAACAACAUCAUAAUCAUAUUCCCUCAAAUCAAAGUUAGAAACACUUACUUCGAUCCGAAAAUAGUAAUCAAAUCUCUAACACCGCUUUCCUCUAGAAUCCAACUCCGAAAAAAUAAUAUCUAGGCACAAUUAGUUCAAUAUUAUCAAUAAUGCCUCAAAGACACAAUUUCAUAGCCUAGACAUGAAUUUCCUAUCAUUCUUCCAAAAAUACCAAAAUCCGACCCCGAGCCCACAUGGUCCAAACUCGAGGUUUGAAUCAAAACCAAAUCACCCAUAACCCCUCGAGUUCAAAUAUGCAAUUUGUUUUAAGAUUCGACCCAAAAUUGAGGUUGAAUCACCCAAAAUCCCCAAAGCCCUAACUCUAACCAAAACCACCAUUUUCUACCUUGAAUUCAUGACUUAGGGCUAGGAAAUUAGCUAUUAGAUGAAGAAAUUAGGGGAGGAUGAAGUUAACAACACUUACCCAAAGAACCAUGAAGAAAGAGAAGCUUGAAAAUCGCAUAUGAAAUGUUGGAGUGAAGAGCUUGUGUGAAAAAUGGCAAAAAUCCCAAGCUACUGAUUCUAUUUUUUUUAUGAAAUAUCAGUAGAGGGAUUUAUCUCUAUGAGAACGCGGGACUAAGUCUCAUACGCGAAGAAGACAGGCCGGCUACACUAUAAGUGUUGAAACACGUUCUCAAGGCACUAAACUAAACGUGUGUUCAUAUUUGUAGGUUUNNNNNNNNNNNNNNNNNNNNNNNNNNNNNNNNNNNNNNNNNNNNNNNNNNNNNNNNNNNNNNNNNNNNNNNNNNNNNNNNNNNNNNNNNNNNNNNNNNNNNNNNNNNNNNNNNNNNNNNNNNNNNNNNNNNNNNNNNNNNNNNNNNNNNNNNNNNNNNNNNNNNNAAGCAAAGAAACAAAGUUAUACAUGAGUCGUUCUUUAAUUGUGAUCUUGAUCCGACAAUUGACUCAAGACUUGGCUUCUCUCGUAAAAUUUUUUUUUAUCAAAUCAUGCAUGUUUAAUUUAAAGCGAAAUGAUUUUCAAACAUUUUAUUUUAGCCAAAAUAAUGUUUAAACAUGCCUCUCAAAUCUGGACAAAGAUAAUCGAUUAUGUACUUUAUGAUAAUCGANNNNNNNNNNNNNNNNNNNNNNNNNNNNNNNNNNNNNNNNNNNNNNNNNNNNNNNNNNNNNNNNNNNNNNNNNNNNNNNNNNNNNNNNNNNNNNNNNNNNNNNNNNNNNNNNNNNNNNNNNNNNNNNNNNNNNNNNNNNNNNNNNNNNNNNNNNNNNNNNNNNNNNNNNNNNNNNNNNNNNNNNNNNNNNNNNNNNNNNNNNNNNNNNNNNNNNNNNNNNNNNNNNNNNNNNNNNNNNNNNNNNNNNNNNNNNNNNNNNNNNNNNNNNNNNNNNNNNNNNNNNNNNNNNNNNNNNNNNNNNNNNNNNNNNNNNNNNNNNNNNNNNNNNNNNNNNNNNNNNNNNNNNNNNNNNNNNNNNNNNNNNNNNNNNNNNNNNNNNNNNNNNNNNNNNNNNNNNNNNNNNNNNNNNNNNNNNNNNNNNNNNNNNNNNNNNNNNNNNNNNNNNNNNNNNNNNNNNNNNNNNNNNNNNNNNNNNNNNNNNNNNNNNNNNNNNNNNNNNNNNNNNNNNNNNNNNNNNNNNNNNNNNNNNNNNNNNNNNNNNNNNNNNNNNNNNNNNNNNNNNNNNNNNNNNNNNNNNNNNNNNNNNNNNNNNNNNNNNNNNNNNNNNNNNNNNNNNNNNNNNNNNNNNNNNNNNNNNNNNNNNNNNNNNNNNNNNNNNNNNNNNNNNNNNNNNNNNNNNNNNNNNNNNNNNNNNNNNNNNNNNNNNNNNNNNNNNNNNNNNNNNNNNNNNNNNNNNNNNNNNNNNNNNNNNNNNNNNNNNNNNNNNNNNNNNNNNNNNNNNNNNNNNNNNNNNNNNNNNNNNNNNNNNNNNNNNNNNNNNNNNNNNNNNNNNNNNNNNNNNNNNNNNNNNNNNNNNNNNNNNNNNNNNNNNNNNNNNNNNNNNNNNNNNNNNNNNNNNNNNNNNNNNNNNNNNNNNNNNNNNNNNNNNNNNNNNNNNNNNNNNNNNNNNNNNNNNNNNNNNNNNGCAAGUGUAACGGUUUGUUAGGCACCCGAAAGCUUAACGGAGUUAGUGGAAUCUCGAGAGAGUCUCUCGGGGAAUGGACUAGCCACAAGUUGUGGUGAACCAGGAUAAAUUCGGUGCGUUCUUUCCUUGUUAUUUAUUUUCCGCACUUAUUUCAAUCCUGCAAUUUUAGUUCCGCAAGUUUACAUUGUUUUUUAUCAUAACGCUAUUCACCCCCCCCCCUCUAGCGUUAAGCGUAAAUGCUAACAAUAAGAACGCAAAAGACUAUCGCGAACGUGGAGAAGGAAAUUCCGAGCCCUCGAGAAAUACACACAAUAACUUAAUAACAUCCUACGAACUUAGUCGAGCGAUCAAAUUGCCAAAAUAACAUAAAAUUCAAUGAAUCAAACCCCAAAAUAAUCAUUUUUCAUUUAAAAGUUCAUACACCUUUAACUUUAGAUAUUUAGGUCCGAAAGACAUCAAAACACGGCCGAUUUCGACAAAAGUUAACAGGAAGCGGUUAACGCAUGUUUAAGACAUGUACCAGGCGCUAGAACCAAAAUAUGGGCCAGAUACCUAUAUAUCUAACUCAUCCUAAUUUCAAGUUUUCAUAUUAUUUUCAGAAAAAUUAUUUCCUUCAAAAAUUCUAUACUCGGGCUCGGGACCUCGGAUUUCAGUUCCGGGAAUACGCCCGAGUCCCAUAUUUUUCCACUGGUCUUCCGGGACCGUCACAUCACGGGUCCGGGUCCGUUUACCCAAAAUGUUGACGAAAGUAAACUUAUCUGUAUAAAUAUCAAAAUUCUUCAAAUUUUUCACAAAAUUCAAAUAUUUUACAUCAAUGUUUACCGGCCACGCGCCCAGACUAUGAACGUAAAUAGAGAUGACUAAAAGUGAGGUUUUCAAGGCCUCAAAAGCACGGAAAAAGUCACCAAUUCACAACGGAUUCAAGCCUAAGUUCAACCAAAACUUUCGAAACUCACAUUCGAUCAAAAACCCAACCCAAAAAUCCCCGAAUCAACUGAAACUUUGAACACAUAUCCCAAAUCAACAAAUGAAGCAACUGUAACUCUCGGAAUUCCAUUCUGACCUUCAGAUUAAAAUCUCACCUACCAACCAGAUUUCGCCAAAAUCCUAACUUCGAAAAAAUAGUCUAACUUCUACAUUGGACCUCCAAAAUAACUUCCGAUCACGCUCUUAAGCCACAAUUAAUCCCCUAAAGCUACCUUAAUCAUCAAAAAAUCACAUCUGAGUCCUCUAACUCACAAGUCAAUAUCCGGUUUACUUUUCCAAACAAACCCUUCUUUAAAGAGAUUGUAUGUCUUAUUUCCUACCAAAUGCAAUCCGAAUUAACUCAAACUUACCAAACACAGAUAAUGAAGCAUGAAGAAGUAUAAAAAGGGAAAACGGAAUGGUAACACAUGAGAGGACAGGUCGGGUCGUCACAUCCUCCCUAACUAAAACAAACGCUCGUCCUCGAGCGAGUCAAUAAACAUACCUGAAGUCUCAAAUAGGUGAGGAUAUCUGCUCCGCAUCUGUCGCUCGGUCUCCCAUCUGGCCUCCUCUACGGGCUAACCUCUCCACUGCCCCUUCACCGAAGCUAUGUCCUUUGAUCUCAAUUUCUGAACCUGACAGCCCAAGAUAGCCACAAGCUCCACAUCAUAUGUCAAAUUCACAUCCAAUUGUACCAUGAUGAAGUCUAAAACAUGAGACGGGUCCCUAUCAUACUUCUAGAGCAUGGAAACAUGGAAUACCAGAUGAACGCCUAACAUGCCGGGUGGCAAAGCAAGCAUAUAAGCCACCUCUCCAAUCCUCCUAGUACCUCAAAAGGCCUAAUGAUCCGCGGACUCAACUUCGCUUUAUUUCCAAACCUCAUCACACCCUUCAUUGGUAAAACCUUCAGCCAGACCUUUUCACCCAUAGAGUAAGAUAUAUCUCAAACCUUCCGGUCCGCGUAACUCUUUUUACGCGACUAAGCUAUACAAAGUCUCUUCUAGAUAACUUUCAUCUGCUCUAAGGAAUCCUGGACCAACUCUUUCCCCAAUAACCUAGCCUCCCCAGGCUCAAACCAACCGACCGAAUAUCUAUACUGUCUCCUAUAUAAGGCCUCAUAUGGUGCCAUCUGAAUGCUGGUAUGAUAACUGUUGUUGUACGCAAACUCUACAAGUGGCAGAAACUCAUCCUAAGACCCUCCUAAACAAUCAUAAAGGGACGCAACAUGUCCUCUAAUAUCUGAAUCGUACGCUCGGACUGUCUGUCCAUCUUGGGAUGAAACGGUGUGCUCAUCUCAACCAGUCUACCCAACUCUUGCUGAAAAGUCCUCCAAAACUGGGAAGUAAACUGAGUGCCCCUAUCUAAGAUAGUAGUAACUGGGAUCCCAUGCAACCGAACAAUCUCCCAGAUGAAGAUCUAUGCCAUCUGCUCCGAAGUAUAAGUUGUACACACUGGAACGAAGUGCGUACUUGGUCAGUCGAUCCACAAUCACCCAAAUCGAAUCAAACUUCUUCGAGGUCCGAGGAAGGCCACUCACAAAGUCCAUAGUGACUCUCUCCCACUUCCACUCGGGAAUAUCUAUCCGCUGAAGUAGGUCGCCCGUUCUCUGAUGCUCGUAUUUUACCUGCUGACAAUUAAGACAUCGAGCUACAUAACCCACAAUAUCCUUAUUCAUUCUCCUCCACUAGUAGUGCUGUCUCAGAUCCUUAUACAUCUUUGCGGCACCCGGACGGAUGGAAUACCGCAAAUUGUGGGCCUUCUCAAGAAUCAAAUCUCUAAGCCCAUCCACAUUGGGCAUACAAAUCUGGCCCUGCAUCCUCAACACACCAUCAUCAUAUAUUAUCACAUCUCUAGCAUAUCCGUGCUGAACUCUAUCCUUGAGGAAAAGCAAAUGCGGAUCAUCAUACCGGCGCUCUUAGACCGAGAAACCACGCAAGCCAAUACCCGAUUGGGCUCUGAAAUGUCUAAUCUCACAAACCAAUUGGCCAAAUCCUGAACAUCAACUGCAGAUUGAAGUAGACCACCUGUUCUGUGAUGCUCGUAUUUCACCUGCUAACAAUUGAGACAUCAAGCUACAUAACCCACAAUAUCGUUCUUCAUUCUCCUCCACUAGUAGUGCUGCCUCGAAUCUUGAUACAUCUUCGCGGCACCCGGGUGGAUGGAAUACCGCGAGCUGUGAGCCGCCUCAUGAAUCAACUCCCUAAGCCCAUCUACAUUGGGCACACAAAUCCGUCCCCUCAUCCUCAAUACACCUUUAUCACUAAUGGUCACACCUCGGGCAUUGCCACGCUGCACACUAUCCAAAAGGACAAGAAAAUGCGAGUCAUCAUAUUGGCGCUCUCUGAUGCAUUACAUAAAGAAGACAGAGAAACCACGCAAGCCAAUACCCGACUGGGCUCCAAAAUAUCUAAUCUCAAAAACCGAUUGGCGAAAGACUAAAAAUCAACUACGAAGGGCCUCUCCCAAACUGGAAUGUACGCCAAACUCCCCUUACUGACUGCCUUUCUACUCAAGGCAUCGGCCACUACAUUAGCCUUUCCCGGAUAAUACAAAAUAGUAAUAUCAUAAUCCAUAUGCAACUCAAGCCACCUCUACUGCCUCAAAUUAAGAUCCUUUUGCUUGAACAAAUUUUGAAGACUGCGAUGAUCGGUUAAUACCUCACAAUAUACUCUAUAGAAAUAAAGCCUCCAAAUCUUCAAAGCAUGAACUAUAACAGCCAGCUAUAAGUCAUGAAUAGUGUAUUUCUUCUCAUGGGACUUCAACUGACAAGAAGCAUAAGCAAUCACUCUACCCUCCUUCAUCAACACACAACUGAUCCCGACUCCCGAAGCAUCACAAUAAAUGGUGUAAGAACAUGAAACUAGUGACAAGACUAAAAUUGGAGCUGUGGUCAAAGUUUUCUUGAGCUUCUAAAAGCUAUUCUCGCGCUUGUCCCACCAUACAAACGAAUCACCUUUCUACGUCAACUUGGUCAAGGGCGAGGCAAUAGAUGAGAAACUCUGGACAAAUCGGCUAUAGUAGCCUGCCAAACCGAGGAAACUAUGAAUCUCUGUGGUCGAGGAUAGUCCAGGCCAACUUUAGACCGCCUCAAUCUUCUUUGGAUCAACAUGAAUACCAUCGCUGGACACCAUGUGUCCCAAGAAAGCCACGGAACCAAGCCAAAAUUCACAAUUGGAGAACUUUGCAUAAAGCUUCUACUACCUCAACCUCUGUGACACAACUCGUUAAUGCUCUACAUGAUCCUCCUGGCUACGCGAGUACACAAUAAUAUAAUCAAUGAUCACGACAACAAAAGAAUCCAGAUACGGCCGAAAUACACUAUUCAUCAAAUGCAUGAACACUGCUGGGGCAUUGGUCAGCCCAAAAGACAUAACCAAAAACUCAUAGUGACCAUUUCUAGAACCGAAGGCAGUCUUAAGAAUAUCUGAAUCCUUGAUCUUCAACUGGUGAUAACUCAAACGGAGAUCAAUCUUAAAAAACACCCUCGCUCCCUGAAUCUAAUCGAAUAAAUCAUCAAUAUGAGGCUGGGGAUACUUGUUUUUCACUGUCACUUUGUUCAACUGCCUAUAGUCUUGCACAUUCUCAUAGUGCCAUCUUUCUUCUUUAUGAAUAAAACAGGUGCACCCCACUGUGACGUGCACGCCUGAAAUAACUCCCUUUUUAGGAGUUCCUAAAGCUGCUCCUUAAAUGCUUUCAACUCUGCUGGUGCCAUGCAAUACGGCGGAAUGGAAAUGGGCUUGGUGCCCGGCACCAAGCAAAUACCAAAAUCAAUGUCCCUAUCUGGUAAUACCCGGCAGAUCUACAAGAAAUACAUUAGGAAAAUCCCUCACAACGCGAACUGAAUCAAUACUAGGAGUCUCAACUCAAACAUCUCGCACAAAAGCAAAUAUGAGAGACAACCCUUCCCAACCAUAGGCUGGGAUUUUAAGAAGGAUAUAACCCUACUAGGAACAUAUUCAGUCAUACAACGCCACUUGAUAAUUUGAACACCUGGCAUAGCCAAGGUGAUUGUGUUUGAAUGACAGUCUAGAAUAGCAUGACACAUAGAUAACCAGUCUAUGCCCAGAAUAACAUCAAAGUCUACCAUGCUAAAAAGAAAUAUAUCUACUCAGGUCUCUAAAACCCCAAUAGUAACAAUAAAGGAACGAUAAACAUGGUCAACAAUAAUAGUAUCACCCACCAGGGUAGAUACUUCCAUAGGUAAAGCAAGACACCCUCGGGUCGUACCCAAAUGAUGAGCAAAAUAUUAUGACACAUAAGAAUAGGUAGAACCGGGAUCAAAUAAGACAGAAGCAUUUGUGUGGCAGACUGAAAUAAUAUCUAUGAUAAUAGCAUCUGAUGAAAGGGCAUCUGUCAUACGUGGGAUACCAUAAAAUCGAGAUUGACCGCCGCCUCUUGAUCAGCCCCUACCUCAGGGGCGACCUCUUGCUGACUUACCUCCACCCCUAUCUGAUUUAGCGCGCGCUAAAGAAACUAGAGCAAAAGAUGAGGGCUGAUACCUCUGCUAAGACUGACUACCACGAUGUCACGGACACUGUCUCCUCAUAUGGCUAAACUCACCACACCCCUAGAAACUACCACGUGCUGGAGAAGGGGACUGAAGGGAACCCCUCGCACUAGAAUGACAAGCCGAUGCACUCGGAACAUAAGAACCUUGAGGUGAAGGGGCAUAAGAUGAAGUCUGAGCUGGGAUGGCACUAAGUGAAGACUGCCCUGCUAGAACCCUUGAUGACCACGGCCUAAAGAUGCCCCAUGAUACUCGGGACGAGCCGACUAAUGAGGCCUGAAAGAACAACCUCUGUUGUAUAGAGACUGACCCCUAAACGGAUCACUACUGUACCUACCCAAUCCUCGAGGUCUCUUAGCCUCUCUCUCCUCUCUUCUGAUGGCGAGCCGUCUAAAUAUCACGAGCAAUAUCAACAACAUCCUCGAAGGUAUGACUCAGAAUCCCCUCUCGAGUCAUCGGAAUACAAAUGGGAUAGGCCAGUCCGUCCAGAAAACUCCAAAUCCUAUCCCGAUCAUUCGGGACCAUCCAAGGAUCAUGGCGAUCCAACUCCAAAAAUCUCACCUCAUACUGAGACACGGUCAUAUCUCCUUGACGAAGCCAUUCAAACUGUCUACACAGCUCCUUCCUCUAAGACUGCGGUACCCACUUCUCCAGCAAGAGCGUGGAGAAGUCCUGCCAUGACAAAGGCACUGCAACUACCAGCCCACGCCGCUUAUCUGCGUCUCACCAAGUAAAGGUUGCUCCUGAGAACUAAAAGGUAGUAAAUGAUACAUCGCUCGACUCCAACAUCCCUGUUGUCUGAAGCAUAUGUUGACACUUUUCGAGAAAACCCUGGGCAUCGUCGCCAUGAACACCAUUGAAAGUAGGAGGUGAGAGCUUACUAAACCUCUCAAGACAACGCUGCUCAUCGCAUGGCAUAGCUGGAACCACAUCAUCCGGAACCGGGGCAACCGGCUGAACUGGUGCAACCUGCUGAGUUGGUGGUGCCUCUGGUAUCUGCAAACCCUAUACUACAUACUUAGGUGUGCGAGCAGAUGGGGUCUGAUUGCCUCCCCCGACCUACGAAGUGGCUGCUGCAAUAGUUGCUAAGACUACCUAAGCCUGGCCAGUGCAAACUAAUAGAAUCUGAGCUAGGGCCUCUUGAAGACGCGGAAUCACAAUUGGCACAAGUGGUGCCUGAACAGGUGCUUCUGGAGUUUCUACAGAUGGAACCUGAUCCUGAGCCGGGGCAACUGGUAGGUCAAGAGGUGCUUCCCCUGCGGCUCUUCCUCGACCACCACCGUGUCCACGGCCUCUAGUGUCCUCAGUAGGUGGUACAGGUGGUCAUCCACCACGUUUCAUAGCAUGGGUUCUCGCCAUCUGCGAGAGAAUAGAAUAUAGAAUUUUAGUUUGCGGAUCAACAAAAUCGCACGAUAAUAAUUCCAAGAAUAUGAAGUUUCCUAAAGCUUUUGCAGCCUCCCGAGAAUAAAUACAGAAGUCUUCGUACCGAUCCGCGAGACUCUACUAAAUCGGCUCAUGACUCUCGAGACCAUGUGACCUAGGCUCUAAAACCAACUUGUCACGACCUCAACCCGAUCAUGAUAGCGCCUAGUAUACUACUAGGAAAGCCCGACCUUUUUACAACAUUUCCCAAGUACAUAUGCAGAUUAACCUAUACAACACAGGAAAAUAGUACUAAGUCGUCACAUCAAGAAUCCAGGAAUACUAAUAAAAAUGCAGAAGAUUAACAAAAUACCAAAAUAUUGCUCCCACCAUGGAACCGGUGUCACGAUCAUGAGCCUCUAAAUAUAGAAUUUCCAUCCAAAUACAAGUCUGUCUAGAAGGAGAAAUACGAAAACAAAAGAUAUGGAUAGAGGGGAGAAAUCUAAGGCUGCAAAUGUCGGGUAGUUACCUCGAUACUCCUAUAGAACACCUUUGCUCAGCUGAUCAAAACUCACUCAGCCUAGGUAGAAACUGGAUCUGCACGCAAGGUGCAGGGAGUAAAGUGAGUAUUCCGACCCAGUGAGUAAUAAAUAUAAAUACAUACUGAAAGUAAGAAAUCAUAGAGAAUGGACAAGGUAACCUAUGUCUAGCAGUUUAGAUCAAUAUCGGUGAAAAUAGUGAAACAAUGAUACAUUUAAUGAAAUAAUACAUGAAAAGAUGCAACACAUAUGAUGGUACACUCUAAUACCUGUUGCGACGUGUAGCCCGCUCCAUUUAUUUAUCGUCGACGGGGAUCACUCGUGGUGUAUACAGACUCCGGAGGGGCUCCUAUAGUCCAAGCGCAAUAUUAGUCAUCUCGUGCAAUCAAAUAGGCUCUCGGCCUCAAUAUCAAUAUAAUAUUGCUACGACACACAACUCAGUCCAAAUCAUUGUAAAACAUCCUCACUAUUGGGUCCUCAGCGCAUCUCAAUCCAAUUAAUCCACAGCCGCUCGGGCACAACAUUCUGUAGGGAUCUCAGCCCUCAUAUUCUUUUCAUUUAUGAUUCAUGUUCAAAAAUACAAUUCUUAUCAUAUAAUAGUUAAAAACAUGACUGAGAGUAUAGUUUAUGCACACAAGUGAGGAAAACCAAUAAAGAUCUCCUAAGGAUUCUACAGGUCGGCACAAGGCCCCAAACAUGGCAAUAAGCUCAUUUCCCAGCACUAUGGUAUGUGUUUCAAUCACCAAUGUAGUAGAAAUAUCACUCGGGAUGGACCAAGUCACAAUCCCCAAUAGUCAACGACCUCGCACUCAUAAUAGAAUGCGUGUCACUCCUAAAUAUAGUGUUACGAUGUCAAAGUCCGGGGUUUCAAACCCUCAAAAUAGCAUUUACAUCUAUUACUCACCUUUAGCCGGCCAAAGACUAGAUCGUAAUGCCCAUUCCUCUCAAAACGACCUCCUCACACGUCAAAUUUGGAAAAACCUAGAACUAAUACGUUAUAAUAGGCUAAGGGAAUAUAACCUAAUCAAAAAGACUUGAAAAUAAUUCAAAAUUCAUGAAAUCUGCAAAACCCGAUCCCCGAGCGCAGUUAUCGAAACGCAGAAAUUCUUACACCAAAAUAUUUCUUAUCUUGUCACGAGUCUAUACAUGUUAAAAUUCCCAAAAUUCGAGCUCAAAUUCUCCCUCAAAUCCCAAAUUUUUAUUCAAAAACCCAAGCCGUAGUUUAUCAAUUUUUAGGCUUAAUUCCCACAGAUUUCUAGAUAAAUUACACACUAAUAACGAGUUUUGAGCUAAGAAUUCUUACCUCCAACUUAUUAUCCUUGAAUAACUCUUCAAAUUUCCUUCAAAAUCUCAUAAAAAUAUCAAAAAUGGGGUAAAUGAACCCCAAACUCGCUGAUGAAAUAUUUUAAGACAUUAUGCCCAAGUGCCAUUUAACCUUAUACGAUCGCAUCCCUUGCUAUUGCGAUCGUAUAGCACAAAUUCCAGGCCUCCUUAAUUCCUCUUAUGCAACCGCAUCAUAACCCAUGCUAUCGCAGAGCACCGGAUCCUCAAACAAAGCGUUCGCACUCAAAACCCCGCGUUCGCAUAGAACAAAACACCAUCAAUGGACCCCAGGUCCAAUAACACUACGAAAUCGCAACACCACGAACGCGAUCGCACUGAACAACUUCCUCAAACUUUGAGAUUGCACACGCUAUUAAGCGUUCGCAUAGACCAAAUCAGAACCCCUUCCAAAAUCUCCUAUGCGAUCGCAAUUAACCUCCUGCGAUUGCAUAGAGCAACUUGUCUCAAAUAUUUCAGCUAAAUUCUGCAACUCCCAAAGGCCAAGAUUGGUCCGAUUGACCAUCCGAAAACACCCUGAGGCCCCCGGGACCUCAACCAAAAGCAUCAAUACAUUCUAAAACAUCAUACGGACUUGUUCUAAUCAUAAAAACACAUCCAACAACACAAAAAUCACCUAUUCACGACAGAUUCAAGCCUAAGUUUAAACAAAACUUUCGAAUCUCGCAUUCGAUCAAAAAUCCGACCUAAACACCUCUGAAUCAACUGAAAUUUUGCACACACAUCCGAAAUCACCUAACAAAGCUAAUGCAACUCUCAAAAUUCCAUUACGAAUCAACAUAUCCUAAAACAUCAUACAAACUUUGUUCCAAUCAUAAAACCACAUCCAACAACACCAAAUUCACAAAUUCACAAAUUCACAACGGAGUCAAACCUAUGUUCAACCAAAACUUCCAAAACUCGCAUUCGAUCAAAAACCCGACCUAAACACCUCCGAAUCAACUGAAAUUUUGCACACACAUUCCCAAUCGCCUAACGAAGCUACUAUCCCUCUUAUAAUUCCAUUCCAGCCCUCGGAUCAAAAUCUCACCUACCAACCGGAUUUUGUCAAAAUCCUAACUUCGCCAAAAUAGGCUAACUUCUACAUCGAACCUCAAAAAUCACUUCUGAUCACGCUCCUAUACCUCAAAUCAUCCUUCGAAACUAACUGAAUCAUUGAAAAACACAUCUGAUCCCUAUAACUCACAAGUCAAUGCCUGGUUUACUUUUCCAAACCAACCCUUCCUUAAAGAGACUAUUUGUCUCAUUUCCUACCUAACUCAAUCUGAAUGAACUCAAACUCACCAAACACAGAUAAUGAAGCAUGAAGAAGCAUAAAAUGGGGAAAUAGAAUGGAAACACAUGGACGACGGGUCAGGUCGUCACAGUAAUACUCACCACAUUCCAUAAAGGAGUCAUCAAAGUUACAAACUUCUAGAUAGUAGACAUGGAGAUGGCUCACAAGAUGAUUCUUGGGAGAACAUGGAUCCACAAAAUGGAUGUUGUUCCUUCAACCUUGCAUAAUGUUAUUAAAUUUCUAUCGCCAUGGGGAAUUUGCAAAUUUGUGGAGAUCAACAUACAUCCAGGGAUAUCAACUCCAUUGCAGAUACAAGCACGACAUGUGAAGGUAAAUAGAAAUCACAGAAGAUAGUUGAGGACAUCACAAUACAAACCUCAACUGUACAAGGGCAAAAAGAUGUAGAUUCAAGACCUGAUACCAUUAGAGAACCAGAAGAGACUGAAAAUAUCAAACAACAAUAGAGGAAUUAGAGCCUGUCAUGUUAUUUGCUCAAUGGCCUUAUAAAAAUGUCUAUGUUGGAGCCAAUCUUAUUCAAGGUAUAAGAGGUAAGUUAAUUGAAUUUUUGAAAACUAACAUGGACUGCUUUGCUUGGUCCCAUUCUAACAUGACGGGGAUACCACCGGAGUUGAUGACUCAUAAACUAAAUAAAGAUCCAUCAUACCCUCAUGUAAAGCAAAAGAAAAGAAACCAAGGAACUUUCAAGAAUAAGGUGAUUCAAGAAGAAGUCAAAAAAUUGAUGAAAAUUAGUUCCAUUCGUGAGGUGAAGUAUCCUAACUGGUUAGCUAAUACUGUUGUAGUUCCAAAUAAGAACGGUAAUUGGCUAGUUUGUGUAGAUUACACUGAUAUUAAUAAAGCUUGCCCUAAAGAUUCUUUUCUACUACCACACAUAGAUAAAUUUAUUGAUGGGACUGCAGGUCAUGAGCUAUUAUGUUUUUUAGAUGCAUAUUCAAGUUAUAAUUAGAUUAAAAUGGAUCCAGGAGAUGAAAAAAACAUCAUUCAUAACAGACAGGGGGACUUAUUGUUAUAAAGUAAUGCCAUUUGAUCUAAAGAAUGCAUGUGCAACGUAUCAGAGGUUAGUUACCAAAACGUUUCAACAGCAAUUAGGAAAAACCAUGGAAGUAUAUAUAGAUGAUAAUUGCUAAAAAUUGGUUCCAUUCGUGAGGUAAAGUAUCCUAACUGGUUAGCGAAAACUAGUUGAUAUGCUUGUUAAAACUCAAUAUUCAAAAGAUCACAUAUCGCAUUUAUCUGAUACAUUUUCAAUUUUGUACAAAUGUAACAGGAUAUUAAAUCUCGAAGGGGGGUAUGGGUUUUCUUAUUUCUAACUGUGAUAUUGAAGUGAAUCCUACAUAGACUAAGGCCAUUGAAGAAAUCCCUUAUAUAAUUUCAAACAAGAGAGAAGUUCAAAGAUUAACAUGUAGAAUUGCAGCCUUGGGAAGAUUCAUUUAUAAAUCACCAGAGAAGUGUUUUAAAUUCUUCUCAAUCCUUAAGAAGUAGGAUCAUUUUGAAUGGAAUGAGGAAUGUCAACAGGCACUCAAGAAUUUGAAAAAGUACUUAUCAAAUCCACCUUUGCUAGCAAAACCAAAGAUUGAGAUAGACUACUCAUUUACCUUGAUGUUUCAGAAGUUGCGGUAAGCGAUGUUUUGGUCCGAGAAAAACAAGGUAAAAAAAUCCCCAAAUCUAUUAUGUUAGUAAAUCUUUUUUAGAUGUGGAGAAGCGGUACCCUCAGUUAGAAAAACUUGCACUUGCAUUAAUCAUGGCUUCUAGGAAAUUAAGACCUUACUUUCAAUGUCAUCCUAUUGUUGUAGUAACUGCCUACCAUUUAUGUAAUAUAUUACAUAAGCAUGAGUUAUCAAGUAGGUUGACUAAGUGGGAUAUAGAGUUAAGUGAAUACGAAAUCACAUACCAACCUAGAACUGCUAUUAAAUCACAAGUAUUAGCCGAUUUCGUGGUUGAUUUUACCCAGGGGAUGCAAUUAGAAACGAAAAAAGAGUAACAAGCUUUCAAUGGUGCUAACCCCUGAACUUGGACUUUAUUCACUGAUGGCUCAUUUAACAUAAAGGGUGCAGGUGUAGGGACUGUAUUGGUACCACGUACGGGUGUAAGGCUAUGAAUGCUGGUCAAGAAUUUGUACGAGAACUUGGCAUAAAUUAUAUUAUAAUCAAGAGUGAUUCGCAAAUCGAGGUUAAUCGAAUGUUGGGGACUUAUAAAGCUAGGGAAUCAAGGAUACAACAAUACUUAUAAAAGGUACGGGAAUUGAUAAAGCAAUUUCAAACUUGAAAAGUUACAGAAAUACCAAGGGAUGAAAAUGUUGAAGGAGACACCCUAGAUAACCUAACAUUUGGGCAGAUGUGAAAAGUGAUACAAACGCCUCAGUUAUACAUUUAUUUCACUCAGUUUUCGAACCUGAUAAGAAUGAGGUAAAUUUUAAUAAUUUAAUUUGGGAUUGGAGGAACGAGAUUGUUGUUGUUUUUUUUUUUUUUGCAAUAUGGCACCAUCCCUGAUGAUAAGAAAAAAGGUCAUGCACUUCAAAAAAGGCUGCUCGAUACUGUUUAAAGUAAGGUAAUUUAUAUCUUAAAAUGUUUGAUGGUCCCUUAACAAGAUGCCUAGGACCUUGGCGAACGGAGUAUGUAAUGAUAUAAAUACAUUAGGGAUAUUGCGGGAAUCACGUUGGAGGAAGGCUACUGGUAAGAACCUAAUUAGGCAGGUUAUUACUAGCCUAAAAUGGAAGAAGAAGCAGAACGUUUCGUGGCUAAAUGUGAUAAAUACCACAGGUAUGGUAAUAAUAUGCAUAGACAUGGAAAUUUAUGAAAUGGGGAAUGGAUAUCAUAGGUCCAUUACCACAAGCCAAAGGACACUAAGCGUUUCUACUCGUACUUACUGAUUAUUUUACUAAAUGGGUGGAGGUAGGAGAAUUUAAAUAGGUGUCUGAAAAGGAGGUCAAAGAUUUAAUUUUGAAAAAUAUCAUAUGUUGAUUCCAUGUACCAAAAGAGAUUUUAUUUGAUAAUGGCCCUCAAUUUAUUGGAGCUCAAAUUACGGAAUUCUUUCAAAUUUUGCAAGUUAAAAGGAUUACGUCACCUUAUCAUCCGGUGAGUAAUGGGCAAGCAGAAUCAACAAACAAGGUUAUUAUAAAUAAUUUAAAGAAGCAAUUAGAGGAAUCAAAAGGUAACUAUCAUGAAAUGUUACAUGAAGUUUUAAGGGUAUAUCGCACAAUUGCAAAAACGAGCAUAGGACAAACACUGGUUUCAUUAGUUUAUGGAGCUGAAGCUUUAAUUCCAAUUGAGAUAGAAAAACCAAGCACAUGAUUCACACAAGCGACACAAUAAUCUAGUGAAUAGGAGAUGCAGGUCAAUCUAGAUUUACUCGAAGGGAGGAGAGAAGCUGCAUUAAUAAGAAGGGCAACACACAAAAAAAAGUCAUGGAACGAUAUUACAACCGAAAAUCAAGCCUCAAAUUCUUUAAAGUUUUGGAGUUCAUAAUUUAAAAAAAUUCAAUAUACAUAGGCAGCUAACACGGGUAAAUUUCUAAUAAGUGAAGAACCCUAUAAAGUUCGUGAUAUCGCAGGAAAGGAAGCAUAUGAAUUGGAGACAAUGGAUGGAAAAAUACUACAUUUACAUUGGAAUGUUGUUCAUUUGAAGAGAUAUUACUUCUAACGAAUACCCACGGUCAUGUAUCAUCAUUUUAAUUUUAAUUUUUUAAUUGUUAAAAUUUUAUUAACUAUAUUAGAUAAAAUGCAAAAAGAUAACCCGUACUAAAUGAUGAGUCAAGUCACGACCUAUAAAGUGCACGGAAUAACCUAAAUUCCUAGGCUGGGAUUACAAUUAUUUUGAUAGAAAUUCAAAUAGGUUAAGCAAUCUUCAUCUAUAAUCGCACCUUCGAGUCUCAUGUAUUUUUCCUUUUCAGGAAAAGGACCAAAUAAGAGAAACUGUCAAGUGCUCGAGGCUUCAUACUUCAAUAUUCAAACACUUGGGGGACUACAUAAUAUACAUAGACAUAUAUUUAAACAAGGCAAAGAAGAUUGAGGAAAAAUCAAGCCUAAAAGAGUCAAGUACACAGUAAAAGUCACAAAGUCACGUAAUGGAGCCACGAGCUAAGGCCAAAGAAAAACCUCAUUAUAGUUAGGGUAAAAUCUAUGUACUGAAAUGGGUUUAAAGGAAAAACUACGUAGAACAAGCCUUUGCUAAUCCAUGGGGUUUUUGUUUGGUUACAAUAAGUGCUUCUUUGCUCACUUACAGCGCCUCGACUCGCGUUUCCACUGUAGGAUUCAGUGAGGUAAUGAGAGUUUCAAGAGCGUGGUAGCUCGACCGUUGGUAGAGUGGAGAUGUUUUGAAUGAAUGGGUUAGGCAAAAAGGGGAGGCGGGGAUCACUUCUAACAAGCGUAUGCUUUUUAGUCUAGAUUUUCACUCUCGACUUUUCCAUGUAUGGAAAAAGCUAUUAUUCUUAUUUUGUAAAAAUAUUUUACAAGAAAACCAAUUACUAAAAAGUUAUAGAUAUAAUUCAAAUACAUGUAAAGUAUUAUUCAAACCUUGUCAAGGUUUAAAAAUAAAAACUUGUCAAAUUAUUUCAAAGAAACAUGUGUGUUCCUAUUUCUUUUAUCGUAUGAUAAUACCAUUAUGAAGUUGAGACAUCUUCUUCAUUAAGUUUCAGAAUAUAAAAGGAUCAUCUUUCAUAAAACUCAUGUUUAAAUUAUUUAGUCAUGACAUUAGUAGAAGCAUAUUCGAAGAACAAAAAUGCAAACUAUUCUAUAAGUUCUCAAGAAUAAAGACAAGAAUAAAACAAAUAGAAAUUUAAGAUAAUAAAGUAAAUACUUCUUAAAUACGUAAAACUGAAGACUAAGUACGAACUUAGUUAUAAAAUAGAAAAGUUGUUUAUACAGAUUGCCCUAUAAAAUAUUGGGGACUUGCUUUUCCAAAAUCAACCCUCAAAUGAAACUAAGGGUUUGAUUACAUUUUUUCAAAAUAAAAACAAAAACAAAAUCAUUCAAAUUGGUCACUUAGAAUUUUGUGGAACUGGAGUAGGAGAAUCAAUAGCAGCGGUCUCAAUUUGGGCAGGUGCAUCAACAAAUGCGGUUUCUACUUUGCUUGCAACAGUAGGUUCGAUUGGGCUUGAAGAAGUUGCGAUACCCGUAUCAGCUUCAACCACGAGAGACGGAAUGUCUUGAUUUUACUGAGCUUGUUCAAUGGUUUCAUUGAUCUUAGCUAACUUUGACUCCAAGUUGAAGUUUUCUUGGCCAGCUUCAAUUAGGGUAUAAUGAGGCGAAUUCAUAAAUUCCCUACUUACCUCAACAACAGAUUUUUCUUCAAGGAUCUUAUAAUCCUUUUCCCAAGCAGCAAUCUCAUUCUUGAGCUCUUCAUUUUCAACCAAGGCGGAGUUAUAAGAAGCUUGAAGAGAGGCAUGGGAGCUCUUUAAAGCACGUACCUUAUUAAUAGAGACUCGAAGGUCUUCUUGUGCUUGAAUUAAGAGUUGUACGAGCUCUCCAGUGUAAACUUCUUUUUUAUUCAAAAUAGCCUUCAACUAUAUGUUCUAUUCACUUGCCUUAGAUAGUUUUUCUGAGAAUGAGGAUUCAAGACGCUCUUUUUCUUUUUUGCCUAACUUGAGGAAUCUUUGGCAAUCGUUAACUCUGAAGUUAAUGCUUUCGCCUACUGCUCUAGGGUACUCUUGCACUCUUGUAAAUCCUCCAUGUUAAAUUGUGCACUGCUAAAUUGUUCCUUCCAAUUGAUUGCUUCCAACUGAGAUUCACGUGCAAUAUUUUCUAAAUCACAUGCUACCUUCUCCAAGAGGGAGUAACUAUUCAUGAUCUCUGUGCCAAUAAGAUUGGCCUAAAAAGGAAGGGAAAUAAGAAUCCCAAAGAUUGAAUCAUGUACAAAGUAAAGAAGAGAAAGAAGGAAAAUACCUUCAGAGUGGCAUGCUAUAACGACUCAAGCAGUCCUUUAGAGCUCUAGCACGUCGUUCAGCAGUUAGAGGUCAUGAUCAGCUUCAUUUUAGAUAUUAUGGCUUGUACUUGUGGUCGAAAUUGAAUUUCGGGAAGUUCAGAGUUGAUUUGAAAGAGAAUUCUCAUUUCAUAAGCUUAAAGUUGAAAGAAUUCACUAAGACUGGAAUUUUAAGUAAACGACGUUGGAAUUUGGAUCGGAAGGAUCCAGCAGGUUUGUAUGAUAAUUCCGGAUCGGGUUUUAGGAGAAUGUGUAAUGUUCUGGCACCUAUUGUGGAAGUUAGCAUUUUGGAAGAAAUUGCGAAAGUUUAGGUUGAAGCGCAUUGCAGUGUUAUCGAUGUUUGUUUGGGAUUGAGAGUGUGGGAGUAGGUCUGUAUGGUGAUUCUGGUGUUGGGAGCGUAAUCGAAAGUGAAUUUGAAGGUCCGUAGGUUAUUUUGGAGCCAUUUGGCUAAAGAUAGAUAUUUGAAGGUCUUUUAGAAGUUUGACCAAAAGUGGACUUUUUGAUAUCGAGGUCGGAACCCAAUUCCAAAGUUACAGUAGGUCAUUAAUGUCUAAUAUGACUUAUGUGCAAAAUUUAAGGUUAAUCGGACGUGAUUUGAUACGUUUAAGCAUCAAAAGUAGAGGUUGGAAGUUCUAAAGUUCAUAAAGCUUAGAUUGGAGGUUGAUUCAUGAUUUUAGCAUUGUUUAAUGUGAUUUGAGGCCUCGAGAAAGUCCGUAAUAUGUUUUGGGAUUGGUUAGUGUGAUUGGUCAGGGUCCCGGGGCCUCGAGAAGAUUUUGGAUGGUUGACAGAGGGAUUUUAGACGUAGAAUAAUAUCAGAUUUUUGUUGCUUCUGGUAUUCCAGCUUCUGCAGAAAUGGGACCGCAUAAGCGAAAAAAGUGUUGGAGGUAGAGAAUUCUUUUAAAUUCGGAACUUGGUCAUUCUUAUCCCAUUUUUAAUUGGCAUGGGCGAUUUUGUAGAGCUUCAAGAGGGGAUUUCUGUCAUCAACGUCAAGGUAAGCUAUCCCCACCUACUUUGAGUUAAAUACAUCAAUUUUGUAUGGAUUUGAGCAUGAAAUUGGUAGAAAACUUGAGGUUUGAGGGAAAACAUAUAAACUUAGUAUUCUUGGAUUUUGACCAUGAUUUUGGCUAUGGAAUUAAGAGAAAUCGUAUAUUUUAGUUCGUGAGUUCAUGUGUAAACUUUAUAUUUGAAAAUUUCCUAUUCCGAACACGUGGGCCCGAGGACGUUUUUGACAAGAUUUUGAUCAGAGUUAGGAAUUAUUAUAAAUUGUAUUAUAAUGAGUACCUUAGCAUAUAUUAAUAGGCUUACAUAAUUAUUGGCUAGUUUUGGAGCGUUGUGCAUCGAUUCAAGCCUUCGAAAAGGCGUGGAAUGCCGGUUAUGGAUCUUUGGAGCGAGGUGAGUCGCCUUUCUAACCGUGUAAGAGGAAAUUGUCCCCAUAGGUGAGUUAGUUGGUUAUGUGCUCCUAUUUGUGGGGGCUACGUACGUACAAUGUGACUAGAGUCCGUGCGUAGCUACUAUUAUGCUAUUGUAUGGGUAGUCUAGGACCCAAAAGCAUGCUAUACUUGGAAUAUUUGUAAUCUUAUAGAUAGUUGAAUUUAUAAAAUCACAUCGAAAUAGUAACUGAAUUUCUAAAAGAUCUAACUCUAAUUUUCUUGAAUUGUUAAAAGGGAAUUAGCUUUUCUUUGAAUAAUUGCUCCAUAUUGACUUCUUGAUUGAUUGUCUAUAUGUGUUUAUUUUUGGAGGGGGUAGAAUGUCUCAGUAGAUUAAAUAGAUGCAUCUAUGAUUCGCGUUGUUCGACCCUCGGCAAUGCACAAUUUAUACUUAUGUGCAUUUUUGUUGCACAUGCCAAUGCAUCUCUAGUGGCCUACAAUGCAUAGCUGCAUUGUUGAUACGGAGACUUCGGUGAGCUGCACUUCUCGAAGUUAUCCGAAACCAACAGAGUCUCUUUCAUAUUUCUAUAUUUAUUUCUAUCCAAUAUUGUAUUCUGGAUGAUUGUUGUAUUACACUAUUUCUUAGAAAUUGCUCAUGUGCUUUUGACACAGGGUUCUGGGAAGAUUUUUGGAGUAUUAAAUGUUAAGUUGUUGUUAAUGAAUUCACAGUUAUUUCUAUAAAUUUUAUUAUUCAUUAUUUCAUGUAUAAAGAAAAAAAUAUUUUAGACAAAUAAAAAAUUGAAAUGUAAUUAAGUGUCUUGGUUGGCUUGCCUGACAGCGAUGUCCGGCGACACCACGACUCUUAGUGGAUUUUGGAUCCUGACACAUGCGUUAUGUCCUUCAUUAGAGUCAGGCAUCUAUGGCUCUCCAGUUUUGCGUUCUCGAUUGGACCAAUUAAAGGCUUGAGUCAAACGUCUGCUUGACUUGACUUCCUUAAAAGACUGCUGUUAGCAGGAACUUCAAUAGUUACGCUCCUCAUAGCAGCACUUCUACUCGAAGAGCCUACCUCCGUAUAAUGAACGAUAGGUGGGGGAAUUAUUAAAGGAGGAGAGGUGGAAGAAGUAAAAACAGUAGAGGGAUGAACAAAAAUAGUUGGGGCAGGCACGGAAGAAAUCAUAGGCACGGGAGUUGAAAAGGAAGAUAAGGGAAGUUCAUCUAAAAUAGGCCCUAAAUUUCCACUACCAAAACCACUGAUGAAAAGUUAAUCAAUAUACUCACGAGUAUCAUGAGGAGGGACAUCAUCAUCAGGAACUAUAACUGGGAUAUCAACUCGCUCGGUAAGAGAAAGACGAGGCGAAACUUCAGCUUCGUCACCAGAGACGAUACGUCUUCUAGCUCAUUGUCUAGUCACCAGGGAACCCCCUUCAUCCUCUUCUUUGGAGUAUUCUUCUUUAGCAGCUUUUCUUUGUGCAGAAGAAGAACCCAAGACUAUUUCUCGGUAUCUUUCUAAAGAGAUACGGGUUCCGGAAGAGGUACGGGUUCCCGAAAAGACACGAUAGUCCGCAACUGCUUCAGCAGUAACUACUCGAGUAGCAAAUCCUGAUAAAACGAAGGAUGAAAGUCAGAACAAUAAAGGAAAAUAAUUACAUACGAGAAAGAUAAAAUAGAAACUCUUACCAUGAGUCUUUACUUUCCAACUGUAAUGGUUGGAAAGGUUUUUCCAAGACCUUCCCUCCGUUGGUGCGGUCUUCAGUAAUUUAUCUAUCCAACCAAGAAAAUUAGGAACAUCCUCCACAACUCCCAUGGUUGCUAAAAAAAGAAGAAGAAAGCAAAAUUAGAGAAAUUGAUAAACUAGAAGGAAAAAAGCACAAGAAGGAUAAACGGAUUACGUAUAAAAUUUAACUUCUCAAGGAAAGGAAUAUUAUCUUCACCCACUAAGCCAGCAACAAAUCGGGCAUACUAGCAACGGUCCUUGUCAUCUUCAGGGCUCACCAAAACCCUCUUACUCCUAGCCACUAGGAUAAAAACUCCAUUGCGAAAAAACCUAGGGGAGUAGAGGUGAAUUAGGUGAGGGAAGGUAAAGCAAACAUCAUCCAUAUUGGUGAGGUGCCUCAAACAGGCAACAUCCCUCCAUGCAAUUGGGCCAAUUUGACCCAAACAGACAUUAAGAAACAGAAAAAAUCAAGAAUAACUGGGUCAAUGGCUGGUUUGAACCCUGGAGUGAAAGGGUAUGUAUAAACAAAUGAGAACCCAGUCAUGUAAGAAAUGAUUCUCUGAUUUAGAUUAGGGAUAAUAAUAGGACAAUCAUUACUCCAGUGGCAAUCUUUACGAACUAUAGGAGUUAAAAAUAUUAUCAUUUGAGUAGGGUAAGCAUCAGUACAAUCCAAAGCGGCAACUUGGAUUCUAAGAGAUUCCCAAUCAUGGUAAAAAGAUAGUUCUGUAGGGACUAUCUCUUCUAGUAAAGGCUCACGAAAUGGCUCAGAAGGUUCUUUACUCCUAGAAGAAGAUUUUUGAGAAAGGGAACCUCUAGUUCUAGAAAGGGGACCAGAACUAGGAAAAGGAAUAUUUGUACUACCACCACGAAUAAACCCUAUGCUACAAAGUCUAGCACCUCUUCUAUACCUAAUGGGGGCAUUGGGGAAGGUAUCUAAAAUAGGAACUCUCUUAGGGUUAGGAUUUGGUGAAGACAUGGCGGAGAAGAUUAAAGUGAGCAAGAAGUGAAUAAAGAUUUGAAGAAUUGAAGUGUUCAAUAAGCUUUAUGUGGUAAAAGAUAAGGAAAGAAGUUAUAUUUAUAUUUAUAAGCAACCGCCAAUAGUAAAAGUGCAGUGAUUGAAGGACCGUUAUAACAAUAACUGGCACUUCUUGAAUAGUGGAGCCAUAAAAAAGCCUUGAAAAAUGAUGCAAAACUGCAAAAUCAGUGGAAAAAUAACACGCGUGCGGAGCAUUAAAUGGAAGCGACAAGUGAAGCGUCAAUUUCGUCAAAGCAUUAAUGGUGACAAAAAUUCUCAUUAUGAAAUUCACUUCUCAAAUAUUCAACUGAUGAAUAAACGAAAAGGGGGGAUACUAUUUGUAUUAAUAUAUAAAAAUGACGUGUCAAGACACGUGGAUUGGUCAAAGAAUUACAAUUAGCGAAGAGGCACGAGUUGCAACAGGUACGAGCAAAGGCAUAGGAAGAGGCACGAGCAGUCAAAUAACUCGGCGCCCGUACCUAUUUUAAGUCAUUUAUAUCCGAGAAUCAGAAGGAAUGAAUCUGACAAUAGAAAAGAGUACAGAUACUGCAUUUAAUGGGCAUUAAAUGCUGAAUACGUUAGAGAAUUUGUAUUGAAUGUAAUGAUUGUGUAACGUAUCAUUCAAUGUUUUUAAUUACUCAUAAUAGCCUCACUAUGAUUUGGGCAAAACGUAUAUCUCCCAGAUAUCUAUAAAAAAGGAGAUAUAUGAUAUUGUAGGAACACGAAAUACUAUUGGAAUAUAUUUUGAUUUAUUUAUUUUUCUUAAUUACCUUUUUGCUAUAAAAAAUUACUUUUUUUUCACUAUUGAAAUAUAUUUUGAUUUAUUUAUUUUUCUUAAUUACCUUUUUGCUAUAAAAAAUUACUUUUUUAUAUAUAUUUUCUUGGUUAACAGUAAUUUGUGUACUUUUAAAUUCUAACUUUGAUUAAAAUUCUAUUUUAUGGUUAAACAACUCGACCGUGAAGCAUUAAUUGUUUGGCAGUAUUUGUUAUUAUAAGACCUGCAUUUAUUCAAAAUAGAUCACCAUUCUAAAACAAGGGACAAAUUAGAUACAAUUUUCGAAAUCAUGUGGAAUCUUUUUAUUUAUUAAUUUAAAACAAAAAUACGUGCACGUUGCAUCUGUAGCUAUAGCCAUUUAAUGAGAUUUACAGUGAGUACUCAAAUUGAAUUUAUGUAUUGUUCAUUUAAACUUCAUAUUCGAAGAAAUGCCUGAAAUAAAUGAAUUAGUCUAGUAAAAUGUGACACAAAUGUUAGAGCCGAAUACUUUGGAUUAUUUUAGAUUGUACGUGGAGAUGUGCAAAAUCAAUUAAAUCGAUUGAAUUAAGGAGUCUAAAAAUUAAAGACAGAUGGAUUGAAUGUAGAUGAUGUUGAUCUUACUAUAAUCUGAAUGGUAAAUGCGACGAACAUAUAUUGCUGAUUAUCAGAAAGCCACGAAUUACGAAACCAUUUAUUCAAUUAGGGAUUUUUUGGUUCAUAGGUCGAUUAUAAAAGAAUUACUUCAUGUAGUCCCUCCGGUCCACUUUAAAUAAUUUUUUGAUCAUUUUCAUACAUAUUAAGAAAUUUAUAAUUUUUAGUAUUAAUUAUAAUGAAAUUGACCAUAUUAAUUGUCAUUUACUUGUUGGGAAUAUAAUAAACUACUCCUAGACUCUUUAUUACAAUUAAUUGCGAAGUCAGAAAUUUUCUUAGGGUGUUCAAACUUGAAAAAAAUAAAAAAAAUCCCUGACAAAGAGUGUUCAAUAUAUAUUGUAUUCUUCUAAAAACACACUAACUGCUACUCUAUUUCCCUCAGGAAAAUCGUCUAAAUAAUCUGUCAUUAGGAAGAGUCCCUUUUUUUCUCAACUUGAUCCCUCAAGAACCCUGCCGACAGAGAUCCAUCGUCGGGCCAAGUUGCUUCUAUAUAUAAUUUCCUAAUACACACUAACUGCUACUCUAUUUCUAAUCAGCUAACGUAAAAUACAAAUCAACACCAAAAACAAACAAACAAAACAAUUAAUAUUCACAAUUACAACAGAUAACGAGAAAUUCCCCCCACCCCACACUUAAACAUAUGACAUGUCCCCAUAGCUUACAGUAUAAAAUUAGUGAAGUAAAGGAACUUACCUGAGUGGUCACUCCUGCUCUGAAACAUUGGUUGGGUUCACGCUGCAUGCACGAUCCAGUGCUCUGAACCAGCCCAUGAACUUCUUAUCUGACUUUACUUGUCUGUCUUCAACCGUGUCAAUGCGUGUACCCAAGUGAGUUAUAGACGUCCUCAGUCCAGUCAUUUCCUGCUCCAGUGCAGACAAUCUAGUGCUUCAGCAAGGCUGUGAUGGACCUGCCACGUCCGUUGUAGUAGGUGCUAUGAUCUCAGGAGCACCGACAUCAUCAGAGUCAUCCUCAGACCAAGACUCUUCAGAUGAGUCAUUGCGGCGAUCUACUAGACCUCUUCCCUCUUAGAUAAUUUUACUUCGAGGAAUGGUUUCUUUAUCUUCAACUUUCCAUCAAUUUUGGGGUCCUUGUUAACCUUAGCCUGGCGGCAAAGCCGUGUGAUAAGUUAAGAGAAAUAGAGGCAUUUGCCAAUUUCUGGCGAUCGGAUAAACAUCUCCUCCAGGAAGACUCAGGCUAUAUCAGACCCUUGGUGGGUCAUGAAACAGUAGAGCAUCGCGCCCGCGGACCAUUGACAUCUGUUGUGUUGCCGUAAGGUAACAACCUAUUGUUGAUUAACUUUAGCCAACAUUUGGCCUCCCAAUUCAGAGAUUGCGAAUGCAAAGUUGUCGGUUGUGUCACCCAUCUUGGUUGUUUGCCAGUUAUAGCAAUGACUGGCAUAAAUCUCUCCAAAUCAACUUCUGGGCGACUGGUCAGAAGAUAAAGAUCGGUGCCUAUGAAUUCUGGAAUGCGAUACAGCCUGCGGAUGACUUCUUCUGAUGCAUUUACCAUGGUGUUGCGCAUAGUCACCACGUUGCACUUAUGCUCGGGUAGGUUAGCAUAGAAUUUCCUCACAAGCUGAAUAUUAGCUUCAUCGGGGGUCUCAAAGAAGAUGUCUAAUCGACACCUCCGUAGCUCCUCAAACAUGGGGGUAGGGGGGAAAUCCUCUACCAAAGCAUUCUUAUGGAUGUGAACCUCAUGUAGUAACUGGCUGGUCAGCUUUGCAUUGUACCUCGUCUAAGCGGCUUUACAGACAAACCGCGAGCUAUCAAAAUCUUCGGCAUUGGACUGGGCCCUAGCUCUGGAGAACCCUAUGUUCUGUAUUUUCCGUGAAGUGCUCAAACUACCUAUCAAUGGGGAGAAACAUGUAGGAGUGUAAGUUUAACAUUGUGACUAUGGGUUGUUACUCAGACUUCACCAUACCAAGUCACAACAACCUCUUGUAUUUUACAUCAUUGAGGCAAUUUGACAAACACCUUGUGAGCAACACUUUGUUUGUCAUAUUCAUGUCCCAUUUAAAUAAAAAAACAACAUACCCACCUUAAUUAAACACACACCAACAUACCCCAUUCUUGCUCAAAGCCACCAAUCCUCAUGAACAACCAUUAAACAAUGAAGAACACAACUCCUUUACCAAGCAUAUGCAAAAACUAUAUUGUCUUCUAACUAAGAAAAGAAAACUUAAUAUAAAUACAAAAUUGAAGUACUACAAUACAUUUAAUCUACUAACAUUAACAUAUAAUACAACAAAACUUGAAAGAAAAGAGAAGGGGGUUGAAAACAAACCUUGUAAGGAAGAAUAUGAUGGUCUUGUGAAAUACUAAGAAGAAGAAUAGAAAAUGAGGGAAUGGGGUUAGGGUUUAGAUAGAGGAUUUGGGAGUUUGGGAAGGGAUUUUCGUGUAUUUGGGAGAUGGGGGAGGGAGUGUUUUGAGUUUAAUUAGGGUUAUGUUUUAUGCUGUGAAGAAAAAAUUAAGAGAAAACGAGAUAAGAAAAAACAACAAAAAAAACAAAAAACAUAUUUGCUGCAAAAAAUACCCGACCGCGGUCGUUCCCGCGGUUUGAGCCAGAGAGCUUUGUGGUCGAGCCCGCAGUCGCGAGAAAUUUGUGGCCUUACCCAGUGAUUUGCGCAGUCGAAGCCGCGGUCCAGAUGCGACCGAAGUAAAGGAACUUACCUGNNNNNNNNNNNNNNNNNNNNNNNNNNNNNNNNNNNNNNNNNNNNNNNNNNNNNNNNNNNNNNNNNUUUUUGUGUAUAUAUAUAUAUAUAUAUAUAUAUAUAUAUAUAUAUAUAUAUAUAUAUAUAUAUAUUGUAUAUUUUUCAACAUAAUUGCGGGUUGCCUCCCAUGCAGCGCCUCAUUUAAUAUCGCGGCACAGCGCAAUUAACGGAUUUCCUUAGUCUUCCGUCAUGUAUUGAGGCUCUUUGAGAUUGGUCACUAUUAUUUCUCCUUUUUCGUCUUUCAUGCCAAGUUAAUGUUUCAACCUUUACCCAUUGGCGUUGAACUUGUUUGUCCCAUCUUUCGAUUCAAUCUCUACAGCUCUACUUGCAAACACCUGCACGACUCUGAAUGGUCCUGACCAUCGGGUCUUAAGCUUGCAUGGGAACAAUCUCAACCUUGAAUUGUUCAAUAAUACUUUGUCUCCCCGUUUGAUACUUCUAUCCACAAUAUUUUUGUCAUGCAAUCUCUUAAUCAUUUCCUUGUACAGCCUAGUGCUUUCAAAUGCAUGAUAUCAUAACUCCUCCAACUCACGCAACUGUGUCAAUCUAGCUUGUCCAUCUUCAUAAGUGUUCAUGCUUAAUUGCUUCAAUGCCCACCACGCUCCAUGUUCUAGUUCCACAGGUAGAUGACAAGAUUUCUCAAAUACCAAUUUGUAUGGUGACAUACCAAUAUGUGUUUUGAAUGCAGUCCUAUAGGCCCAAAGUGUUUCGUCAAGCUUUUUUGCCCGAUCAGAUCUUGUAUCGUUUACUGUUUUGGUGAGCACACUCUUGAUGUCACGGUUAGAGGGUUCUACCUGUCCACUUAUUUGAGGGUGAUAUGGGGUUGCUACCUUGUGGUUCACAUCAUAUUUGGUCAACAACUUUUCAAGGACACGAUUGAAAAAGUGCAUUCCCCCGUCACUGAUGAUGGCUCUCAGAGUCCCAAAUCUGGUGAAUAUAUUCUUCUUCAAGAAUCCUACCACCACUAUCGAAUCAUAUCUGGGGAGUGCUGGAGCUUCACCCAUUUGGAGACGUAAUCUACCGCAACAAGUAUACACUUAUUGCCAUAAGAACUAAUGAAAGGGCCCAUGAAAUCAAUACCCCAAAUAUAGAACACCUCAACUUGUUGGAUUGGAUUCAUGGGCAUUUCAUGUCUACAAGAUAUGUUUCCCAUUAGCUGGCAUUCAUUGCAGCCUUUCAACCAUAGGUACGCAUCUCUGAACACCAUUGGCCAAAAGAAUCCGGCAUCUAACACCUUUGCAGCUAUUCUGACUCCUCCAAAGUGUCCUCCUUAUGCAGAUCGCUAGAGCUUCACCCAUUUGGAGACGUAAUCUACCGCAACAAGUAUACACUUAUUGCCAUAAAAAGUAACGAAAGGGCCCAUGAAAUCAAUACCCCAUAUAUAGAACACCUCAACUUGUUGGAUUGGAUUCAUGGGCAUUUCAUGUCUACAAGAUAUGUUUCCCGUUAGCUGGCAUUCAUUGCAGCCCUUCAACCAUAGGUACGCAUCUCUGAACACCAUUGGCCAAAAGAAUCCGGCAUCUAACACCUUUGCAGCUAUUCUGACUCCUCCAAAGUGUCCUCCUUAUGCAGAUGCAUGACAAGCCAGCAAGACAAAUGAUUUUUCUAUCUCGGAAACACACCUCUGGAUCAUAUUAUCAACACAGAUUUUAAACAAGUCGGGCUCAUCCCUAAAAUACAUGCGCCCGUCACGAUAAAAUUUCUUCUAUUGGACAGAGGAGAGAUCAUAAGGAACAAUACCACAGGCCAGGUAGUUUGGAAAAUCUGCACACAUGGCGCUUCUUCUAAACUGGCUGCAAGCAGCUGCUCGUCUGGAAAGGUUUCCAGAAUCUCUUCGACCUCGACAAACUCUUCAGCCCCUUCAAGUCGUGAUAGAUGAUCGGCGACUUGAUUUUUUGUGCCCUGACAUGAAUCUCGAGGUCAAAUUCUAGCAACAGCAGCACCUAACGAAUCAGGCGAGGAUUAGACACUUUUUCUAAAUUAUAAACCUGAGAGUUGUAUGAUCAGUAUAUACAAUUACCUUAGAACCAAUUAGAUAUGAUCGAAACUUGUCAAAUGUAAACACAACUGCCAAUAUCUCCUUCUCCAUCACUGUGUAGUUGAGUUCUGCGGCGCUUAGUGUACUGCUUGCGUAGUAGACCAUGGUGCAACAGCUUAUUCUUUUGUUGCCCCAAGAAUGCUCCUAUAGCAUAGUUGGCAAAUGAUCGGGGCAAUUAAUCAUCUUCUUCUUCAACUCCUAAAAAGCCAACCUACAAUCAUUACAAAAUACAAAGGAUUGAUCCUUUUCAAGGUGUUUUCAUAGUGGGUUAGCAAUUCUGGAAAAAAUCUUUUAUGAAAUGCCGGUAGAAUCUGCAGUGUCCCAAAAAACUUCUCAUCGCCUCGACUGAAGUGGGCAGUGGUAGAUUCUUAAUCACGUCAACCUUAGCAUGGUCGACCUCUAUUCCUUUCUUGGACACUCGAUGUCCUAAGACUAUCCCUUCUUGUACCAUAAAAUGGCAUUUCUCCCAGUUUAGCACUAAAUUUGUCUCCAUACACCUUUUGAGCACUCUGCUUAGGUUGUGAAGGCAGUCUUCGAAUGACUCUCCCACCGCGGAGAAAUCAUCCAUAAAGACUUCCAUAAUAUCCUCCACCAUAUUUGUGAAGAUUGCUAGAAUGCACCACUGAAAAGUCGUCGGUGCAUUGCAAAGCCCAAACGGCAUUCUUUGAAAGGAAAAGAUGCCAUAUGGAUAAGAAAAGGAUGUUUUCUCUCUAUCUUCGGGGGCUAUAUAUAUUUAAUUGUACCCCGAAUAACCAUCUAAGAAACAGAAGUGGGAUCGUUCGACCAGUCUGUCCAACAUUUGGUCAAUGAAGAGCAAGGGAAAGUGGUCCUUUCGGGUGGCAGUGUUUAGUUUUCGGUAAUCCAUACAAAUUCUCCACCCUAUAACUGUACGAGUUGAGAUCAACUUAUUAUUGUCAUUUUACAACUGUCAUCUCCCCUUUUUUCGGAACACAUUGGACAGGGCUGAACUAAUUACUAUCAGAGAUGGGGAAAAUGAUUUCUGCAUCUAACCAUUUGAUGACCUCUUUCUUCACAACCUCUUUCAUGUUAGUGUUCAGCCUUCAUUGGUGUUCCCUAGAAGGUCUGUGCCCCUCUUCCAAGAGAAUCUUAAGACUGCAGAAGGAUGGGUUGAUACCCUUUAUGUAUGCCAUAGUCCAGCCAAUGGCAGUCUUAUUAUCUUGCAACACCUGUAACAGCUAUUAUACUUGCACAUCUAGCAAACAGGAUGAUACAAUAACAUGCAAGGUAGAGUUCGGGCCUAAGAAGUCAAACCUGAGGUGGUCUGGUAGUGGCUUCAACUCCAGUUUGGGUGGCUCUUCUAUUGAUGGCUUUGCUGGAGGAGUGACCAUUUUUUCUAGCUCAAGGGAUUCGAAUUGAGGUUCCCUUGACUAAAAUCCUUGGCCUUCCCGUGCCAUAACUCAUUCAACCAACCCUUCACCAUCCAUCUCUUCUAGAUUUGUCAGACAUGCCUCGAAUGGAUCAUUAACUAUCAGAGCCCUAUCAUCUUCUAGUAGAAUGACAUAUACUGCCUCCACUAAAGAGUAAUUGGAAUAUUCACUGGGUCUCCUCAUCGAUUGCUGAACAUUGAAUAUGGCUUCUUUGUCAUUCAGUCUCAUUUUAAGAUCCUCGAAGAAUGUCUCCGCUUAAAUUGCUUGCACAGCUAUGGCAGUUUCCUGAUUGUCAGCUGUGAGCUGUUCCCAGUCAUAUAGUGCAGCCUCGGGAACAAGACCUGCCACUUUCCUGAUGUUUAAGUCGUCUUGCUCAUUCCUAACAUUUUCGUUGACAUUGUCCUAAAUGUCAGCCAUGUCAAUUUCGAGUUUGGUUGUU